GUUUUAAGGUCUACAGUAUGAUUGAAUGAUUGUGUGAAAAUUUCGUUAAGAAAUUUUAUCGAUAAGGUGUCCAAUUUGACUAAGAGGACUAAAUUGUAAUAGGUGUAAAAUAUAUGUUCUAGAAGCUAAGGUGUCUAAUUGCUAUGCAAUUUUAAAUUGGAGGUCCUUAAAUGGUAAUUAGACCAUUUUACUUUGAGUUGGACAAAAAUGGACAUGGUAGGGUGAAAUUUCAAAGUUUGGCAUUAAAGGCAUUUUGGUCAUUUGGCUAAUAAAGACAAAAUUUAACAAAUAAAAGAUGUCAUCUUCUCAAUUUCAUCCUCCCAUGGCUGAAAAUGACAAGAGAAGACAUAGCUAGGGUUUUCCAAGCUUUCAAGCUCGAUUGUAAGUCCGUUUUAGCCCCGUUUUUAAUGGUUUUCAUGUUUUUGAUAUCCUUGUAACCUAAUCUAGCUAUUUCAAGGACCAAUUUGAAAGAAAGAUGAAUUUUAAAAUUUUACCCAUGUAUUUGUGUAUUUUAAUGUCUAAUUGUAGAAAAUGCAUGUUUGGUGUUAGAUAAACAAAUUUUGUUAAGUGAUUUUCGAUAAAAAUGUGAAAAAAGACUUACUUGUUAAAGUUAUAAAAUGAGUAGUAAAAGUGUGAUUAAGUGGAAAAUGUGGGCUGAUAUGAGUAUGGAAAUGGUUCGGCUAGGCUUGGGUUUUGAAGAAAUUGAAUACAUUUCAUUUUACGAGCCUAGGAACUAAAUUGUAAAAAUGUGAAACAUUAGGGGCAAAAAUAUAAUUUUACCAUAAUAUGAUUUUUUGGCUAAAUUGAAUAAUGUGAGUAUUUAAUGAGUUAAUUUUGUUAUUAUAGAUCAAGAAAAAUGUGGUUCGGACCUAGAUCGGGGAAAAACAAAGUCUUUAAUGAUUAGGUCCAAAUCUACUACUUUUGUACCGGGGUAAGUUCGUAUGUAAAUAAUGUAAUGUUAUAUUUAUGUUUUAAAUGCUUUAUUAUUGCAUGAAUUGUGUGGCUGACUCUUUUGACGUAUUCGAAAAUAAUUUGACAAGUAAUAAAUCUUUGUUGAACCUAAGGAAUAGAAUAGGAUACGGGUGACAUGUCACUAGGAACCCCAUAUGUAUAUGUGUUUAUGUGAUCCGGGUGUUGGUCUUGUACGUCCUGCUAGUGGCUAGGUAUUCCGGCAUAUGUUGCAGUUACCUGACAGCUUGUAUGAGCAGCACUGUGUAGUUACGUCCUAACUGACAGCUUGUGUGAGCAGGCCCGUGAAUAGCUCGAGAGCGAGCCUAUAUGUGUUAUGAGAUAUGAGGUAGCUUUGAAUACAUAUAUGGCACUUACGUUCAAGAUUUUUUGAGUUUUCGAUAAUAUUCCAAGUGUUCAACGAGAAUGUCAAAGAUGUGAAAGGAUACGAGUUGGUAAAGGUAUGUUCAUAGAACUCAUAAGUAAUAAAUUCGAUAGGUGAUGAACUCUUGGUAAGGUUGUGAUUGAGUAAGUUAUGACUAUGAGAUUUUAGUAACAUUUAUGUUAUCUCACUUUAUAUAAAUUGCAUGAUUAAGGUGUUGUUAAUAUGCAUAUUAUUUGCAUAUGAAUUUACUAAGCUAUAUAGCUUACUCCCAUUUCUUUCCCUUGUCUUAUAGUGACACCAAGCUAGCUCAAGUUCGAAGAUCGUCGGAUAUCCAUUCACACUAUCAAUAAUUAUUUUGGUACCAAUGAAUUCAACAUUUUGAGUUAUGGCAUGUAUAGGGGACUAGGACAUUUUGUUAUGUGUCAUAAUUGAUUUGGCCAAAUGUGUUGGCUUAUAUUGGUUAGAAGUUCAUUUUGUAUAAGGCCAAUGGAAAUAAGCCAAUAUUGGUUAUAAGUAAUGAUUCCUUUCAUGAAUGAUAUGUUGAUGUCUUGGUUGUGGAUGUUUGGUUGUAUGUAUGCUUAGAUUUGUGAUAUGUUAUGUUGUGUAGGUGUGUACAUUAAAGGGUGGCAAAAUGGCUUGGUAAAUAGCCUUAUUUUUGUCCACACGGGUAGACACACGGUCUGCCCCAUGGGCGUGUGAUCCGAUCGUGUGUCCUCUGCACCUUAAUUUUGAGAAAUAGGAUGCCUAGAAUUGAGCACACGAGUAGAGACACAAGCGUGUGUCUCAGCCGUGUGGAUGGCACUGCCUCAAACAUGGGUGUGUGCCCUGGUUGUGUGAAGUCUGCACCUAUUUUAUGAAAGUUAAUUUUCCACACGACCUAGCACACAGGCGUGUGACUUGGUCCUGUGAUUUCAAUUUGUUCAGUGAGUUACAUAGGGUCGGGACACGGGCGUGUGUAGCCACACGGCUUGCCUACACGGGUGUGUCCCAUAUCCACAUAGGCGUGUAACCCCUGUUUAGUGGAAAAUUUUCUAAGUUUUGUAAAUUUUUCUAAAGUUUCCGGUUUAGUCCCAAAUUACUUUCAAUGCAUGUUUUGAGCCUCGUAGGCUCAUUUUAGGGACUUUAUGAUUAAAUGCAAAUGGUUUUAAUUUGGAUGCAAAUUCAUGACUUAGAAUUGUAUGGUUAUUCAUGUGAUAAGUUCGGUAAUGCCUCGUACCUUGUUCCGGUAUUGAAUACUGGUAAGGGGUAUUGCAUUUAGUGGUAUCAGAGCUACAAUUUAGUCGAUUCUCGGACUAACGCAGCAUGUGUAAAAGUCUAGCUAUACAUGCCAUGAAUAAACUGUGAUAGUGUGAUAACUCCUAACAAUUUUAAACUGUGUUUUUAUAUAGUAAAUGGAUCUCGAUCAAGCUGUAGCUAAUGAGGUAGAAAGCAAUGCGUCAGCUCCUACUCAAGAGGCAGCGCCAUCUAAAAGUAGACCUUCCUCAGUUAGUCAGGGAGGAAGGGCUAGGGAAGCCUUCCUCCACAUGUUGAAUGAGUGGUAUUCAAAGUUUGGUCGAAUAAAUCCGACUACUCAACAUCCUCUACCCCCUCCUUAUCCCCAACCGAUUCCCGUAACUCCUCAAGGUGUGGAAUUGGUAAGACUGAAUAAGCCUCUGGUUGAUAAGAUUCAAAAGCAAGGGGCUAAAGAAUUUAGAGCAAAUGUAGAUGAUGACCCGGAGAGAGCCGAGUACUGGCUUGAGAAUACUAUCAAGGUAUUUGAUGAGUUAUCAUGUACACCAGACGAAUGCUUGAAAUAUGCUAUAUCGUUAAUGAGGGACAUAGCAUACCACUAGUGGAAGACACUAGUAUCUAUGGCACUGAGAGAGAGGGUUACAUGGGAAUUCUUUGAAGAGGAAUUCUAAAAGAAAUAUAUUAGUCAGCUGUUCAUCGAUUAGAAACGUAAAGAAUUUCUUGAGUUGAAACAUGGCCAAAUGUCAGUGACAGAGUAUGAGCGAGAAUUUGUAAGGCUCAGUAAGUAUGCCUGAGAGUGUGUUUCCUCUGAGGUUAUUAUGUGUAAAAAGUUUGAAGAUUGGCUGAAUGAGGACAUCAGACUAUUAGUUGGAAUCUUAGAACAAAAGGAAUUUGUUGUAUUGGUUGAACGAGCUUGCAAAGCUAAAGAACCAAGCAAAGAGAAAAGAAAGGUCGAGAGUGAAGCUAGAGAUGCAAGAAAAAGGCUGAUGAGUAAGUCAUUUCAAUCUCAAUCAAAGAAAUCCAGAGAAAUGUAUUCUCGUUCGAAUGUUUCAGCUAGGUAUUCACAUAGAGACCGAGAGAAACAAUAUUCGGGUCCUAAAGGUCAAGCUACUUCAAUGACAAGUGUGGGUAAUGUUAGGUCUAACAGACCUUAAUGUCAGCAUUGUGGCAGACGACAUCCCAACAAGUAUAGGAUAAAUGACCAAGCUUGUUUCAAGUGUGGUUCUCAAGAGCAUUUUAUCCGAGAUUGCCUUGGGAUGGCUGAGGAAGAAAAAUUUCAGAGUACAAGGCCGAGUAAUACUACCUAUAGAGGUAGGCCACUGAGAAAUACAGGGAGCUAAACUAUUACUAAAGGUGUGAAGAAGUAUUCAACUGUGAGAUCCAAAGCUAGAGCACCUGCUAGAGCUUAUGCCAUACGUGCUCGUGAGGAUGCGUCAUCUCCUGAUGUGAUUACUAGUACAUUUUCUCUUUAUGAUACUAAUGUUAUUGCAGUGAUCGAUCUUGGAUCGACUCAUCUUAUGUUUGUGUGAAUUUGGUAUCUAGUAAGAAUUUGCCUGUUGAGUUUACUAAGUUUGUGAUUAAAGUGUCAAACCCCUUAGGCAAAUAUGUGCUAGUUGAUAAGGUCUGCAAGAAUUGCCCUUUGAUGAAUCGAGGUCACUAUUUUUCGGCUGACUUAAUGUUGUUGCCAUUUGACGAAUUCGAUGUUAUUUUGGAUAUGGGCUGUUGACACUGCAUGAUGCCAUAGUAAAUUGUAGACAGAAAAAUAUUAAAUUGAAAUGUGAAAAUGGUGAAGUUCUUUGGGUUGAAAUCGAUGAAUCAAGUGAAUUGCCUAUUGUGAUUUCGUCUAUAUCUGCUCAGAGGUAUGUAAGAAAAGGUCGUGAAGCUUAUCUUGUUUAUGUGUUGAAUAUAAAGAUGUUUGAAUUGAAAAUUGAAUCAGUGCCAGUAGUUUGUGAAUAUCUUUAGAUGUGUUUCCAAAAGAGUUGCUUGGAUUACCUCCGAUUAGAGAGGUUGAGUUUGCCAUUGAUUUAGUACUUGGGACUUCAACGAUAUCGAUUGCUCCGUAUAGGAUGGAUCCGACUGAAUUGAAAGAAUUGAAAGCUCAGUUGCAAGAGCUGACAGAUAAGGGUUUUGUGAGACUGAGUUUUUCUCCCUGGGGUGCUCUAGUGUUAUUUGUGGUACGUGAUAUUCGUGGCAGGUUUUAAAUAUUUAUAAUGAAUCGUUCUUGAAACUAACUAUUAUCACUAUGAAGGCAAGUGUACCUAUCGAAUAGUAGUAUAGCUUUAGCAAGACCGGAUUAUCGAACCCAAAGGAACUAAAAGUACUAGUAUUAACUUUCUUUUUAUUAUCUAGCCUAAGAAUAAUGGGGUUUGUUUCAACUAACUAAUUAACUAAACUAAGAAAUCACAGAAAAUAGAAUUGGUGAAUUACUUUUGGAAAAAACGAUUGAAUUAAGACAAUACUUAAGGAAAAAUCCACCUAGACUUCACUUGUUAUUUGACUCUGAAUCGAACGAUUUAUUCAUUUGACUUGAUCCGUAGAAAUCCCUAAGUUAUAUUAUUAUCCCUCUCGAGACUAACAACGUCUAACCCUAGGUUGAAUAAUUGAAAUCUCUUUCUAAUUAACUCCCUAGGGUUGCAUUAACUUGAUCUAUGGAUCCUCUUAUUAGGUUUCACCUUAAUCCGACAAAAUCUUGUCACCCCAUCUCUAGGCGCACAACCAACUCCACUUAAUUAUGAAAAAUGUACUCUUAGACAGGGUCUAUUCCUCCUCUGAAUAAGAGCUUAACAUGAAUCAAUAUCCUGGAAUAUCAAAACAAGAAUUAAGAACAAGUUAAAUAUUUAUUAUACAAUUCAGAUAAUAAUAACAAGAUCUAUCUUAGGUUUCAUUCCCCUUAGGUAUUCAAGGGUUUUGGUUCAUAACUAAAAAGGUAAACAUCUCUGAAGAAUAAUGAAUACAAAACAUAAAGAAAAACCCAAAACUUCUGAAGGGAAAUUAAGGGGAGAUCUUCAGUCUUAAUGAUGAAUCCGGCUUCUGAUAUGGAUCAAUCGGCUUUCCUUGAGCAGUUCCCUGCUUCCCUCUCUGUGUGUUCUCUUUCCUCCUCCUCUAGGGUGUAUUUAUAGGCUUUGGAAUGCCUAAGAACCCUCAAAAUUGGCCUUUUCCGAAUUGGACUAAACUUGGGUUCGGCAGGGACACGCCCGUGUGCAAUUACUUCAGGCCGUGGUCAAGCCUGUUAAAUAGGCAUGGGCGUGUGGUCCACCCGUGUGAGUCAUGCUUCGAUUCUCCCAAAUUGACAUGGCCGUGUGGUCUGCCCGUGUGAGGAGGUCCAGGCCGUGUUGAUUUCGUACAUUGGCCCAUUUUCUCUAUUUUUUGCCCGUUUCUCAUUCCUUUCACUCUCCUAUGCUCACCUAAGUAUAAAACAUGAAAUUAAGGCAUUAGGAGCAUCGAAUUCACCAAUCUUAAGGAAACAUCAUCCAUAAAAUGUGUUAAGCAUGGGAUUGAAAUAUGUAUAAAUUACGGUUUAUCAAAUACCCCCACACUUAAGCAUUUUCUUGUCCUCAAGCAAAAUCCUGAACUCAUAAUCAAAAUAAAUUCUUCUCAACUUUUAAUUUCUAUCACUAAUAUCUCAAAAUAAUCCAUAGGUAAUCAUACUUUGAAAAUUCAACUGAAAGAACAUCAAAGUUUCAAGCAUUCCAAGUUGAGUAUUGUAUCAUGAAAACAUAGGUGUCUCCCCUCGUCUAAGUAAUUACCUUUGAUUCAAAAUGUCAUAGAGUUUCACAUCCUCACUAAAGAUUAACUCAAAUCACUCGAGGUAUUUAAGGACAAUAAAUGAAGCACUCAAAUAAUGAAAAGUCAUUACCCUAGGCUUGCAUGAAAACCAAAUCUCCACCACUAUAAGUUAAGAUGAAACAUCAAUCAAAAGGUAUUUAGAGGGUUGUAACGUGGCUUUGGUUAGAGGGUAUGGUCACAAGCUGAAAGAAAGGGUUAGAAUCGAGAUUGAAUUGAAAAAUUGCCUACCUAGAAAAAUGGCUAGUCAUCAAUUGUGUACAACAGAGCUUUUUUAGAAUAUGAAAUUUAACUAUUUAGCUCAGAAGAUCACUACUACUAAAAUGUAUACAUGUAUAUAUAUAUUUUAAGAACAAGUCAAAUUACAAAAUAGAAUAAAACAUAGCUAAGAAACUAUUCCAACACAAAUCUUGACAAAAAUAGGGAUCAAAUUAAUUUAGGGGAUUUCAACAAUAAUAAGUUAUGGGUUAAUAUUGAGGGUACAUCAAUGAAUGGGUUGUUAGGCUCAAGGGGGUUCACUAAGGGUUAAUUGUGAAGGUAGGCUUUUGUGGAGUGAGUGGGUUAAACCUAAGUGCCUUUAUCAUUUUGACAUAUCAAAUCAAAUGGUGUGGUCUUGACAUGUAUAAUCAAGCAAGUUCUAGAAUAACAAUUCAAUACUAAUACACUCAUAAUGAAAAUGAGCAUGAAAGAAAUAAUAGAUGAUCUAAAGGCUCAAGAUCUCACAAAAAUUAUGGUUUUUUGAUGUUUAAGCUUGUGAAUUUCAACUCCAGAAAAUACCUAAACUUAGGGAAACAACAUAAAAGUUUUUAAUUCUUCAAAAAUCAACUUAUCAUGCUUGAUUCCCUAAUGUCUUAAAGUUUAAACAAUCAAUGCAUAAUUGCCUAUGUUUUAGUUCAAGAUAUAUCAAUAAAAGUCAUAAAUCAAUCAAAAUUUAUCCUAAACAUGAUAUGAGAGCUUUUCAAGAGAACAAGGCAAUCAUUCAGGGAUUUUUUUGAUAGUGAAAUGAAUACCCCCCACACUUAAUAUGUACAUUUCCCUCAAUGUACGAAGAUAGAUAUAUAGAAAAGAAUAUAAAAAUAAGAUAGGGAGAGAAGUGAAACUUCCUGAGUGAUGAAUGAAUUUCCUUGAACUAGAGUUUUGGAGAAUAAUUGGCAUGAGGGUGGAGGAGGAUACUCCGGUGGUGGUAGAGGUUCAUUAGUCCAUAAGUCCUGUGCCAAAAGAAUAUUAUAUCUGGUGGUAGCUAUGGUCGUGGUCGAGCAGGACAUGGCAGUCGUGGAGAACCUUUCUCGGUGGAGUUUUUAGUUCCUAUGUAAUGAUGAGCUUAGGAGCUCUUUAUGACUGUGAUCAAAUCAGGAACUCUUUAAGAGGUAUACUAAAGCAUAAUUACUCAUAAUGAAAUAGCCGAAGAAUAAAAAUUGUAAAAACUCAGGAUGAAAUAGUAUUAAAAGGAAAUAAAAAAUUCAAAAUAUAGAGAUAAAAAUAAAAUAAAAUAAAUAAUAGGUGUUUAUAGAGAAAUUGGGGCACACAGCCGAGGGGCACGCUCGUGUGCUCUAAGCUCAGCCCAUGCGUUUCGUACUUUUUGAAAUUAGGCGCAUUGGUGUACACGGGCAUGUUGCACGGUAGUAUCGGUCUCCGUUCGCUUCUCCCACGCUCGUGUAGGCAGGUGCAUGCCCGUGUUAGAUUGACAGUUUACCCACGGUUUCAAAACACGGGCGUGUUACACAUCUAUGUUUUUUUGGCAGUUUCGCCCACGGCCAUGUCACACGGCUAUGGCUACUUAUUGCAUCCCGUGUUGGGGAAGAAAAUUUUGCCAUGUUUUCACACGGUCUUAUCGCAUGGCCGUGAGGGUGGAGGAGGGUACUCCGGUGGUGGUAGAGGUUCAUUAGUCCAUAAGUCCUGCGCCAAAAGAAUAUUAUAUUUGAAGUUGGUUAUGGUCAUGGUCGAGUAGGACAUGGAAGUCGUGGAGAACCUUCCCCGGUGGAGUUUCGAGUCCCUGAGUAAUAGUGAGCUUUGGAGCUCUUUAUAAUUAUGAUAGAAUCAAGAACUCUUUUAGGAAAUGUAUAAAGAAGAGUAAGUACUCAAUAUGAAUUAGCCGAAAUUAAAAUUUGUAACAUAAUAAUUAUAAGUUAUAAUAAAAAUAAGGUGAAAGAAAAAUAAAAAGUAGUCGUAAAAUAAAAUAAACGUAAAAACAUAAAAUAAUAAAUAAAAGUUUUUAAACAUCUUCAUCGCUAGAUGGUUAGCGAGGUGGGGGUGGCGAUGUGAUGUGGAAGUGUAGCAUCAAUGUGAUCGAAGCGCUGAAAACAUUACUGCUCGAAUCGAGUUAGGCACUUAGAGAUGUCAGCGUAUGAAGCCGCCGCAUGAACUGGACGAGAGGGUGGUGGUGGCUGAGACAGUGCGUCCUCGUGACGUGGAGGGACAUCAUCAGUAAUAUCCUCGGGGGUCUCCUCAUUGGUGGAUUGGGCGAGAUGGUACUGAAGAGGGAAUGUGCCACGUCAUUUCUCGAUCAUCAUCAUACUUAGCAUGCUCGAGAUGCCCUGUGGGGACAUCUGGCCCAUGAGAGUGAGGGAGGAUGAUUGGGCUACUGUGUUGAGGAGCCCGAAGUGUCGAGCCAACCGUUUCAAAUAGGGCCCGAUAGAGAUGACCCCCUUCCUAUGUCGCUCCGUCUGAUGUUGAAUGGCGAGCGCAAUGAAAUAAGCAAGGUCUAUGAUGUGCCCAUGUGACAUACACCAUAGAAAGUAGGCAUCGUGAGUGUUGACGAUGUCAGUGCUCUCUCUUCUUCCUGUUAACGUGUGAGCCAAAAUGGUGUGUAAGUACUUCAGAGAUAGAGGGAGAGCCGAUGUCUUGGGGUGGCUAGGAUUGUAGGAGGCAGCGCCGAGGGCGAGGGUGUUCCAACACCGUGAAGGAGAGUGAUGGAUGUGGUGAUUGAGAGCGUGGAGUUCAUUCUCCUCCAUGAACUCCUCAAUGUAAAGGACCAGUGCAGUUCCGAACUCUAGGACGUUCAAUUGGCGGACUAGACCGCUGAGGCAAAAUUAGAUAGUUCCUGGGUCAUCAAAACGAGCCAUCACGAUCUAAAGAUGGAACGUUGAGCAGAGUUCCAUCGUGAGUUCAAGAUAUGUCGGCUCGACAAUCUCAAAGAAAAGCCCCCAAGGAUCGGCGGUGAGGAGGGCCCUAAUUGCAUCCACGAGUUGGACUUGUUCUAGCGUAGCGCAGUCUAUACAGUGGCCCAUUUCCAAGGGUCAGGCUCGUAGAACCUGGAAAAGUUCUUCUUGAGGCCCAAUGGGGAGCUCCAGGAAAGGGUGACGAAUUUCUACGGUAGGACCCAAGAAAGAUGAUGCUCCCUUCCUUUUCUUCGAAGUAGGGACGGCGGCUUUCUUUCCUCGUGAAGAUGACAUGGUGUACGCUAGAAAGAGGAGAAUAAGCGUUAAAAAUGGGGUUGAAAGCGGUGCACGGGUGUGUUAGGGAGGUCUUGUGGACUUGCAGCAGCUAGGGUUAGGGAUUUUGGGUGACGGAGAUGAUGAACAGUGAAGGGUAUUUAUAGAUCUUGGGACACACACCAGGGAACACGCCCGUGUUCCCCAAUUUUUGCCCGUGUGAUUUGUAAAUUUUGAAUUUGGGCGCUUCUGACAAUUUUCCCACGCCAGUGUACCUUGGGCAUGUUGGUGCACACGGCCGUGUUGCACGGUCGUGUCUAUCUCUGUUUGCUUCUCCCACGCCCGUGUUGUUUUGGCAGGUUCGCCCACGGUUGCUUGGCACGAGCGUGUGUUAAUUUGACAGGUUUGGCCACGGUUUCCAGGCACAGGCAUGUCGCACGCCCGUUUUGUUUUGACAGGUUCACCCACGGCCAUGUCGCACGGCCGUGGCGAUUUAUCGUAGCCCGUGUUGGAGAAAUCUUUGCCCUAUUUUCACACGACCCUAAGCACGCCCGUGUGCUUGGCCGUGUCUAUGUGGUAAACCUGUAUUCAAGAGCUUCAUUAGUAAGUUAGGUGUUAAACACUAAAAUUUAAAGAAGUUAAUACAGUUAGUGCUCGGGUUGCCUCCAAGAAGCACUUAUUUAUAGUCUAAGCUUGACUUACCUUUCCAUUGAAUGGUCAUGGUGGUUCGAGGAGUUUAUACUCCUCAUUCCUGCUGUGAAUCUCAUCAAAAUAAGGUUUUAGGAGGGUAUUGUUUACCUUAAAAGUGCCGAACUUGGGAUGAUUUACCUCGACUGUACCGAAUGGGAAAAUGCUAAGUACUGUAAGAAGGAUUUCUUCAUUUGGUUUGGCAGUUUUGGCAGUGAGAAUGUGAGGAUCUGCGGCAACUAAUAAAACUCUAUCUCCAACCUUAAGUUGAUUUGGAAAGGUAUUAAGCUUGUUCUGGUGUAGUUUUAGUUUAUCUUGUGUUCUUGGUUUAUGUGUCUGCCAUUCAUCUAGCUCCUCGAUUUGUAGCCUUCGUUCUUUACGAAUAGGUCCUCUACUAUUGCUUGAAAAUGGCUCAUGUACUUCCUUCGAGCUCAUUUCCUGCAAAGUAGGUUGCACCAUAUUGUUAGUUUUAGUAGAAUGAUUUAGACAAUCACCUUCAAUUUUUGAUGUGUUGCCAGAAUUGCGAGCUUGAAGGGUGAUUGUUUCAUCUCCCACACAAAGUGUGAGCUCACCUAUGCCAACAUCAAUAAUCGUUCUAGCAGUUGCUAAAAAGGGCUUUCCUAAAAUCAAAGAAGUGUUGCUAUCCUUCUCUACGUCUAGAACAACAAAGUCAGCAGGAAAUAUAAAUUUAUCGAUUUUAACUAGCACAUCUUCAAUAAUACACCUAGGAAACCUUAUAGUUUUAUCUGCUAAUUGAAUGCUCAUCCUAGUCUGUUUAGGUUUCCCAAGACCUAGUUGUUUAAACAUCUUGUAAGGCAUAACAUUAAUACUAGCCCCUAAAUCAACUAAUGCAUUAUUAACAUCUAAACUACCAAUUAAGCAAGGAAUUGUAAAACUCCCUGGAUCUUUCAAUUUGUUGGGUAGUUUAUUAUGUAGAAUAGCUAAGCAAAUUGUGUUUAGCUUCACAUACGAAGCCCCGUCCAACUUCCACUUAUAUGCUAAAAGCUCAUUUAAAAAUUUCAUUGCGUUUGGCAUCUCUGAUAGAGCUUCAAUAAAUGAUAAGUUAAUAUGUAAUUUUUUUAAGAGUUCAAGGAAUUUACCAAAUUGUUCAUCUAAGCGGUCUUUCCUUGUCGCAUUAGGGUAUGGCACACGAGGUUUGUAUUCUGUACUUACUGGUUUCUGCUCAUUAUGGUCUACCUCACCUUUACCUUUGCUUAUCUUAGUUUCUUGCCUUGGUUCUGAUUCAGGUGUGACUAACCCUUCCUCAUCUUGACAAGUAAUCACGUUGAGUUGCUCCCUCAGGUUAGACUCUAUGUUGCUUGGCAAGCUACCUUGUGGUCAUUCAGAAAUCAACUUGGCAAGCUGUUCAAUUUGAGUUUCGAGCCCUUGGAUCGAUGCUUGUUGAUUCUUAAGUGCUGUCUUGGUAUUCUAAAAAUGAGUUUCUGACACCGAUAUAAACUUUGAGAGCAUCUCUUCAAGGUUCGGCUUCUUUUCCUGUUGGUAAGGUGGUUGUUAAAAACCCGGAGGAUGUUGUGGCCUUUGAUUUCCUUAACCGCCCCACGAGAAAUUGGGAUGGUUCUCCAACCUGCAUUAUAAGUGUUACUAUAUGGGUUAUUUUGGGGUCUAGAGUUAUUGUUACCCAUAUAUUGGACUUGUUCCUCCUUGAUGCUAGGGUUGAAGGGUUGAUAUUCUGUGCAUGCUCCUCCUCCAUUCGAAUCACACCUCAUCACUGGAUGUACCUGAGUAGAACCACACAAACCAUCAAUCUUUUUAUUUAAGAGUUCCACUUGGUUAGAUAUAAUAGUAACUGCGUCGAGGUUGAAGACACCGGUUCUCAUAACUUGCCACUGAUAGUUAUUCAGUGACAUCUCUUCAAUAAAUUCGUAAGCCGCCUCAAGUAUCUUAUUAUUGAUAGUUCCUCUAGCGGCUGCAUCAAUCAUCUACCGAGUCAAAGGAUUCAGACCAUUAUGGAACGUUUGAACUUGUAGCCAAAGUGGUAACCCAUGGUGAGGGCACCUUCUCAAAAGGUCAUUGUAUCUCUCCCAUGCAUCGUAGAGUGUUUCUAAAUCCAUCUACACAAAAGAAGAGAUAUCAUUACGUAAUUUGGCUAUUUUAGUCGGUGGAAAAUAUUUUAAUAAAAUUUUUCGGUCAUUUGUUCCCAAGUAGUGAUUAACCCUCGUGGUAACGAGUUCAACCACUGUUUAGCCUUAUUCCUUAAUGAAAAGGGAAACAACCGAAGACGUAUGGCAUCAUAAAAAACGCCAUUGAUUUUAAAUGUAUCGCAAAAUUCUAGGAAAUUUGCCAAGUGAGCGUUGGGAUCCUCGUCCUGUAAACCAUCAAACUGAACAAACUGUUGUAUCAUUUGAAUUGUGUUAGGUUUCAGUUCAAAAUUAUUUGCAGCAAUAGCAGGUCUAACUAUACUUGACUCAGUUCCUAUUACAAUCGCAGGAGGCAGCGAAUUUUCUUGGUUUUCAGCCAUCUCAUUGGUUGUGGUUUGAAUAUCGUCCUCUUGCUCGUUCUCUGUAUAUCUUAAGCUUCACCUUAUUUCUCUUUGGUUUCUGAGAACUAUGCGAUCGAUCUCACUGUCAAAAAGUAAUGGUCCUAACGAGUUUCUUCUAGUCAUAAACUAUAAGAACUUGCCAGAAAAAGGGAAAAGAAAGAAUUAGUAAUAAAAAUUAGAAUAAAAUUUAAAUUGCAGUAAAAGUAAAUGGCUAAAGUAAUAAAAAUCGAGUGUUCCUAAUAUCUUAGUUCCCCGGCAACGGCGCCAAAAACUUGGUACGUGAUAUUCGUGAUAGGUUUUAAAUAUUUAUAAUGAAUCGUUCUUGAAACUAACUAUUAUCACGAUGAAGGCAAGUGUACUUAUCGAACAGUAGUAUAGCUUUAGCAAGACCGGAUUAUCGAACCCAAAGGAACUAAAAGUACUAGUAUUAACUUUCUUUUUAUUACGUAGCCUAAGAAUAAUGGGGUUUGUUUCAGCUAACUAAUUAACUAAACUAAGAAAUCACAGAAAGUAGAAUUCGGGAAUUACUUUUGGAAAAAAACGAUUGAAUUAAGACAAUACCUAAGGAAAAAUCCACCUAGACUUCACUUGUUAUUUGACUCUGAAUCGGACGAUUUAUUCAUUUGACUUGAUCCGUAGAAAUCCCUAAGUUAUAUUAUUAUCCCUCCUGAGACUAACAACAUCUAACACUAGGUUGGAUAAUUGAAAUCUCUUUCUAAUUAACUCCCUAGGGUUGCAUUAACUCUAUCUAUGAAUCCCCUUAUUAGGUUUCACCCUAAUCCAGUAAAAUCUUGUCACCUUAUCUCUAGGUGCGCAACCAACUCCGCUUAAUUAUGACAAAUGUACUAUUAGACAGGGUCUAUUCCUCCUCUGAAUAAGAGCUUAACUUGAAUCAAUAUCCUGGAAUAUCAAAACAAGAAUUAAGAACACAUAAUUAAGAACAAGUCAAAUAUUUAUCAUACAAUUCAGAUAAUAAUAACAAGAUCUAUCUUAGGUUUCAUUUCCCUUAGGUAUUUAGGGGUUUUAGUUCAUAACUAAAAAGGUAAACAUCUCUGAAGAAUAAUGAAUACAAAACAUAAAGAACAACCUAAAACUCCUGAAGGGAAAUUAAGGGGAGAUCUUCAGUCUUGAUGAUGAAUCCGGCUUCUGAGAUGGAUCAAUCGGCUUUCCUUGAGCAGUUCCCUGCUUCCCUUUCUGUGUGUCCUCUUUCCUCCUCCUUUAGGGUGUAUUUAUAGGCUUUGGAAUGCCUAAGAACACUCAAAAUUGGCCUUUUCCGAAUUGGACUAAGCUUGGGCUCAGCAGGGACACGCCCGUGUGCAAUUACUUCAGGUCGUGGUCAAGCCUGUUAAAUAAGCACGGGCGUGUGGUCCACCCGUGUGAGGCGUGGUACGAUUUUUCCAAAUUGACACGGCCGUGUGGUCUGCCCGUGUGAGGAGGUCCAGGCCGUGUUGAUUUUGUACGUUGGCCCUUUUUCUCUGUUUUUGGCCCGUUUCUCGUUACUUUCACUCUCCUAUGCUCAGCUAAGUAUAAAACAUGAAAUUAAGGCAUUAGGAGCAUCGAAUUCACUAAUUUUAAGGAAAAAUCAUCCAUAAAAUGUGCUAAGCAUGGGAUAGAAAUAUGUAUAAAUUAUGGUUUAUCAAUUUGUAAAGAAGAAAGAUAGAUCUAUGAGACUUUAUAUCAAUUACUGACAACUCAACAAGGUGACCAUUAAGAACAAGUAUCCUAUACCGAGGAUUGAUGACUUCUUUAAUCAGUUAAAAGGAGCAACAGUUUUCUCAAAAAUUGAUUUGAGAUUGGGUUACUAUUUGUUGAGAGUUAAAAAGUCAAAUGUGCCGAAAAUCACUUUCAGGACAAGGUACGGGCAUUAUGAAUUUCUUGUUAUGCCUUUUCGAUUAACUAAUACCUCUUCCGUAUUUAUGGAUUUGAUGAAUUGGAUCUUCCGACCGUAUAGAUAAGUUUGUGGUUAUGUUCAUCAAUGAUAUUUUGAUUAAUUUUCGAGAUGAGUCCGAGCAUGCUGGGCAUUUAAGAAUUGUAUUGCAGACCUUGAGAGGUAAGAAAUUGUUUGCUAAUUUCAGUAAAAGUAAGUUUUGGCUUUGAGAAGUUGGAUUUUUGGGACAUAUCGUUUUAGUUGAUGGUAUUCGGGUUGAUCCAAGCAAGAUUUUAGUAAUUGUUGAGUGGAAACCACCAAGGAAUGUAUCGAAAGUUAGAAGCUUUUUGGGUUUAGCCAUUUAUUACUGACGUUUUGUCAAAGGAUUUUCAAUGAUUGCUACUCUUAUGACCAAGUUGUUGCAAAAAUAUGUUAAAUUUCAAUGGUCCAAAAAAUGUCAGCAAAGUUUUGAGAAAUUGAAAGCAUUAUUGACUGAGGCGCUAGUUUUAGUGCAGCCUAAAUCAGAAAAAGAAUUUGUAAUUUAUAGUGAUGCUUCAUUGAAUGGUUUGGGUUGUGUAUUGAUGCAAGAAGGAAAAGUGAUAGCUUAUGCCUCGAGAUAGUUGAAACCACACGAGAAAAAACUAUUCGACGCACAAUUUGGAAUUGGCUGUUGUUGUUUUUGCUUUAAAAAUUUGGCGUCAUCAUUUGUACGGUGAGGAAUGCCAUAUUUUUACUGAUCAUAAGAGUUUAAAAUAUUUAAUGACUCAGAAAGAUCUGAACUUGUGACAAUAGAGAUGGCUUGAGUUACUGAAAGAUUAUGAAUUAGUAAUUGACUAUGAUCCGGGAAAGGCGAAUGUAGUCGCAGGUGCCUUGAGCAGAAUGUCCUUGUUUGCUUUGAGAGCUAUGAAUACAAAGCUGACUUUGUCUAAUGAUGAUUCAAUUUUGGCUAAGACGAGAGCUAGACUGAUAUUUCUUCAGAAAAUUUGUGUAGUUUAGAAAAAUGAGAGUGAAUUGCAAGCCAAAAGAGCUCAGUGUGAAUUAUGUAGUGAUUCAGACUUUUGGAUCAGUUUGGAUGAUUAUUUAAUGUUCCGAGAUAGAGUAUGUGUACUGAAAAAUGAUGAACUUAUUCAAAAAAUUUUACAUGAAGCACACAGUGGUUGUUUAUCAAUUCAUCUGGGUAGUACGUUUGAAGAAAUUGUAUUGGUGGUCAGGUAUGAAAUGAGAUAUCUCUAAAUUUGUAUCAAAAUGUUUGAUUUGUCAACAAGUAAAAGCUAAACACCAAGUGUUUUUGGGUCUACUUCACCUAGUGAUUGUACCCGAAUGGAAAUGGGAUAUGAUUACGAUGGACUUCGUAACGGGUUUGCCAUUGACUCCGAAAAAGAAAGAUGCCUUCUGGGUUGUUGUUGACAGAUUGACAAAAUCAGCUCAUUUUAUUCUGGUACGUAUCGACUACUCACUUGAUAAGCUAGUUGAAUUGUACAUUGCUGAAAUUGUGAGAUUGCACAGAGUGCCUAUUUCAAUUAUAUUGGAUAAAGAUCCGAGAUUUACUUCAUAAUUUUGGAAGAAGUUGUAAGAAGCUUUGGGUACAAAUUUGAACUUUAAUACUAUAUUUCAUCUGCAAAUCGACGGUCAAUCUGAAAGAACGAUACAGAUUCUCGAAGAUAUGCUUAUAACAACAGUUUUCAGUGAGAGAUAGAUUCAUAGGGUUGAUUUGGUUAGAGAAACCAAAGAGAAAGUGAAAGUAAUUCAUGAUUGUUUGAAAGCCACUUCGGAUAAACAGAAAUCGUAUGCUGAUUUGAAACGAAAAUAAAUUGAAUUUCAAGUCUGUGAUAAGGUAUUUCUGAAAGUAUCUCCGUGGAAGAAGAUUCUGAGAUUUGGCCGUAAAGGCAAGUUAAGUCCACGUUUCAUUGGGCCGUAUGAGAUUAUUGAAAGAAUAGGGCCGGUGGCAUAUCGAUUAGGUUUGCUGAUAGAGUUGGAAAGGAUUCAUAAUGUGUUUCAUGUGUUGACGUUGUGACGAUAUCUUCUGAUCCUUCACAUGUGGUUUCACCAACAGAAGUUGAGAUUAGACCUGAUAUGACUUAUGGUGAAGAACUGAUCAAGAUUUUGGCUCGGAAAGUUAAACAGUUGAGAAAUAAAAGCAUAGCCCUAGUGAAAGUUUUGUGGCAACGACAUGGGGUCGAAGAGGCUAUGUGGGAACCUGAGGAAGUUAUGAGAAAACAGUGCCCAAACCUAUUUCUUGGUAAGAUUUUCGGGGACGAAAAUCCCUUGGGGGGAGAGUUGUAACAGCCUGUUUUAGUGUCAAAUAGAACUGUGAUUUUGGGACCACGAAUCUGAAGUAGAAAUAUUUAUUGUGAUAUUUUUUAAGGUCUACAGUAUGGUUGAAUGAUUGUGUGAAAAUUUCGUGGAGAAAUUUUAUCGAUAAGGUGUCCAAUUUGACUAAGAGGAUUAAAUUAUAAUAUGUGUAGAAUGUAUGUUCUAGAAGCUAGAGGUGUCUAAUUGCUAUGAAAUUUUAAAUUAGAGGUCCUUAAAUGGUAAUUAGACCAUUUUACUUUAGUUGGACAAAAAUGGACAUGGUAGGGUGAAAUUUCAAAGUUUGGCAUUAAGGGCAUUUUGGUCAUUUGGCUAAUAAAGACAAAAUUUAACAAAUAAAAGAUGUCAUCUUCUCAAUUUCAUCCUCCCAUGGCUGAAAAUCACAAGAGAAGACAUAGUUAGGGUUUGCCAAGCUUUCAAGCUCGAUUGUAAGUCUGUUCUAGCCUUGUUUUUAAUGAUUUUCAUGUUUUGAGAUCCUUGUAACCUAAUCUAGCUAUUUCAAUGAACAAUUUCAAAGAAAGAUGAAGUUUAAAAUUUUGCCCAUGUUAGAUAUUUGUGUAUUUUGAUGUCUAAUGCUAGUAAAUGCAUGUUUGGUGUUAGAUAAACAACUUUUGCUAAGUGAUUUUCGAUAAAAAUGUAAAAAAUGACUUAUUUGUAAAAGUUAUAAAAUGAAUGCUAAAAAUGUGAUUAAAUGUAAAAUGUGGCCUGGUAUGUAUGAAAAUGGUUCGGCUAGGCUUGGGUUUUGAAGACAUUGAAUACAUUUCAUUUUAUGAGCUUAGAAACUAAAUUGUAAAAAUGUGAAACAUUAGGGGCAAAAAUGUAAUUUUUCAUAAUAUGAUUUUUGGGCUAAAUUGAAUAAUGUGAGUAUUUAAUGAGUUAAAUUUGUUAUUAUAGAUCAAGAAAAAUGAGGUUUGGACCUAGAACGAGAGAAAAACAAAGUGUUUGAUGAUUAGAUCAAAAUCUACUAUUUUUGUACCGAGGUAAGUUCAUAUGUAAUUAAUGCAAUGUUAUAUUUAUGUUUUAAAUGCUUUAUUACUGCAUGAAUUGUGUGAUAGACUCUUUGGACAUAUUCGACAAAAUUUUGACAAGCAAGAAAUCCCGGUUGAACCUUAGGAAUAGAAUAGGAUACGAGUGACAUAUCACUAGGAACCCCAGGUGUAUAUAUGUUUAUGUGAUCCGGGUGGCUAGGUAUUUCGGCAUAUGUUGUGGUUACCUGAUAGCUUGUGUGAGUGGCAUUGUAUAGUUAUGUCCUGACUGGCAGCUUUUGUGAGCAGGCCUGUGAAUAGCUCGAGAGUGAGCCUAUAUGUGUUAUGAGAUAUGAGGCAGCUUUGACCACAUAUGUGGCAGUUAUGUGAAAGAUUUUCUGAGUAUCCGAUAAUAUUCCAAGUGUUCAACAGGAAUGUCAAAGAUGUGAAAGGAUAUGAGUUGGUAAAGGUAUGUACAUAGAACUCAUAAGUAAUAAACUCGAUGGGUGAUGAACUCUUGGUAAGGUUGUGACUGAGCAAGUUAUGACUAUGAGAUUUUAGUAACAUUUAUGUUAUCUCACUUUAUAUAAAUUGCAUGAUUAAGGUGUUGUUAAGAUGCAUAUUAUUUGCAUAUGAACUUACUAAGCUAUAUAGCUUACUCCCCUUUCUUUCCCUUGUCUUAUAGUGAAACCAAGCUAGCUCAGGUCCAGAGAUCGUCGGAAAUCCAUUUACACUAUCAACAAUUAUUUUGGUACCAAUGAAUUCAACAUUUUGAGUUAUGGCAUGAAUAGGGGACUUGGACAUUUUGUUAUGUGUCAUAAUUGAUUUGGCCAAAUGUGUUGGCUUAUAUUGGUUAGAAGUUCAUUUUGUAUAAGGACAAUGGAAAUGAGCCACUAUUGGUUAUAAGAAAUGAUGCCUUUCAUGAAUGAUGAGUUGAUGUCUUGGUUGUUGAUGUUUGGUUGUAUGUAUAUGCUUGGAUGGCAAAAUGGCUUGGUAAAUAGCCUUAUUUUUAUCCACACGGGUAGACACACAGGCGUGACACACGGUCUGCCCUAUGGGCGUGUGUUCCGACCGUGUGUCCCCUACACCUUAAUUUUUAGAAACAAAAUGCUCAAAAUUGAGUACACAGGCAGAGACACUGGCGUGUGUCUCAACUGUGUGGACGGCACGACCUCAAACACAGGCGUGUGCCCUGGUCGUGUGAAGCCUGCACCUAUUUCAUGAAAGUUAAUUUUUCAUACGGCUUAGCACACGGGCGUGUGACUUGGCCGUGUGAUCUCAAUUUGUUCAUGGGUUACAAGUCAGUGAGUUACACAGGGUCGGGACACGGGCAUGUGUAGCCACACGGCCUGCCCACACAGGUGUGUCCCACAUCCACACGGGCGUGUGACCCUUGUUUAGUGGAAAAUUUUCUAAGUUUUAUAAAAUUUUCUAAGGUUCCUGGUUUAGUCCCGAAUCACUUCCAAUGCACGUUUUGAGCCUCGUAGGCUCGUAACAGGGAUUUUAUGAUUAAAUGGUUUUAAUUUGGACGCAAAUUCAUGACUCGAAAUUGUAUGGUUAUUUGUGUGAUAAGUUCGGUAAUGCCUCGUACCCUGUUCCAGCAUUGAAUGCAGGUAAGGGGUGUUACAUUUAGCCUCUGACUGAACAACGGUGUCUUUUGCUCCCGUACGAGUAGUCCUACCAGUAUUGUUCUGACCCAGAUGUCCACCUUUCCGAGCAAUGGAAAUUUUCUUUUCAUUCUAUUCUUCAUUUUCUUUUACCUAUUUAGGACAAUUUUAGAGGAAGUGAUCAGUCGACCCACAUCUAUAACAAGCUCCCAACUUAGCUUUGCAUUUGCCAGGAUGAAAUUUUCCAUAAUGUUUACAACUGGGCUUCGGAGCAUUCCAUACACUUCCCACACUAUCAACUAGUUUUGUAGGAGUUUUAAAAUCAUCUUGAAUCGAUUUAUUUUUGUUCGGAUGCUCAGACAUUGAAGUAGCUUGGCUAAUGUCUUCUCUAGCCUUUUUUCUGGUGGUAGAAAAUAACUUAGAAGAACUUCUCUUGUUAAACUCUCGAAUCCGUCUAUCCUUUUGUAUCUUGUGGUUGUACACUUCCUCCAUUUUCUGUGCACGAUCAGAUAAGACAACAAAUUCUCGAAUUUCAUUACCUGCAAUCAUCAUUUUGAUUUUAUCAUUUAGACCAUCUUCAAAUCGGAUACACAUCUCUUAUUCAAUAGACACAAUUUCUCGAGCAUAUUUACUGAGAUAUACAAACUUUUUCAUGUAAUUAGCCACUGAAUUAUUUCCUUUUCGUAACUCAAGAAAUUUCCUCUUUUUCUUGUCCAGAUACUGUUUCCUGACAUACUUCUUUUUAAACUCGAUCUAAAAUAAAUCCCAAAAAAUUUUCUCUCUCAGAACCACAGGUACCAAUAUAGUCCGCCAAUUGUACGUUUCUUCUUUUAGCAAUGAAAUGACAUAUCUAAGAAAAUCAUUGGGAGGGCUAGCCAUUUUUUCGAAAACUCACAAGAUGUUCUAAAGUCAAUACUUAGCUUUAACUAGAUCAUCUUCUAAUCUACCUCGAAAUUCUUUGGCACCACACUUCCUAAGCUUUUCUAUCGGAAUUCGUCGACUAUAUUUAGUCAUAGGAGGAGGUGGAGGUGCAACAAGAGGUAUAAUAGGGGGUGGAGGUCAUUGAGUCAAAGUAUUAAUUUGCAUAAACUCACUAAACUACUGGUUCAUAAACCCAAAGAACAUGUUUUUAAGUUCAUGUUCUUGUACUUGUGGAAUCAGGAUAUUACUAUUCAUCGCUUGAUAUGAGGUUGGUAUAUUACUAUUAACAUCAUCAUUGUCAGCAUGAUCAAAUCCAUCUAGCAUCUUUACAAUCUAUAAGAAAAACAAAGGUUAGAUCAGAUCAAACACGUCACACUAUCACAGGUUAUAUGGCAUGUAAUUCUAGACAUUUAACAUGCUACAUUCAGUCUAAGAAUCAACUAAAUCGUAACUCUGAUAUCACUAAAUGUAACACCUCUAACCUGUUUCUGUCGCUAGAUUAGGGUUACAGAGUAUUAAAGAAAAAUAAAAAACAUAUGAACAUUUGAUCAAUCAGCAUAAUAAUCAUAUCAUAAACCAUUCAUACUCAUGCAAAACUUUCCUAAAUCGAGCUUUCGAGGCUCUAAAAAUAACCUAGAAAUAAUUUGGGACCAAUUUGAAACAUUUUAGAAAGUUUAGGAAAAGAUGCAUAAUUUAUGAAAUAGGGGUCACACGGUUGAGACACACGCACGUGUAUCAGGCCGUGUAACAAUCAAACUAGGGACGCACGGCCAUGUCCCAACCUAUCUCCACACCUGUGUAACUUUCUGAGUUGCCCCACAUGCCCGUGUGUCAAGCCGUAUGUUAGGCCGUGUAACUCACUAACUUGCACCCUAAAGAACUCAUUAGAUGACACACAGCCAUGUCACCAAGCCGUGUGUCUCACAUGGUUGAGUCACACGCCUGUCUCUCAGGUCGUAUGGACCCAAAAUAAACCUUAAACAACAAGUUUACCAAUUCAAACUUACUUUGACUCUAAGUAAUCCAUUUACCAACCAAAGACCUAUUCAAAGUGUCAUUAAACAAGCUAAAAACAUGCUAAAUCAACCAUCCUAAGUGCCUAACUAAUGUAUCCUCAUUGAUACUGCAAGUAUAUAUAUAAUUAUACAUCAAAAUGAAUCAUCAACCACAACUUAUCAAUUCACAAAGUCUAACACCUCACCAAUGUUUCUCUCAUAGGCACCUUAAUCACAAUAUUACAUUAACACAUAUCAUAAAUAUUUGCAUUAAAACAUCUUACCUCAUUCUCAUAUAUCAUUUAAGUUGAUUAUUUGCACUUACGAUCAUACUUAACAUUUUACCUAUCCUAAACAAUAGUAAUGACAUACAAGCCUAUUACAUGCCAUAUAAUCCAAAAUGAACGUUCCAAAAACUACCGAAAAUGAGAGUAUAGUGUGACUUGAGUGCUGAUCUGACUGUCCAACCUUCAACACAUCUAGAAGGAUAGAAAAUAACAUAAGCAAGCUCAUUGAAGCUUAGUAAGUUCGACAUACAAAAACAAUAAAUCUUACUGAAGUAAGUACAACAAAUCAAAUUAUAAUAAUACAAUCAUAUAUGUUCCCUAUCAUCCACAAUCUCACUGGUGAAUUGUAAAAUUCAAUCAAAACUUAAGUACAUGAACAAACCAUCAAAAAUCUAACUUACCAAGGUUUACAAUUUGAUGAACGACUUACAGAUAAGAGUACAUCAAUAUUCCAACCAAAACACACCAUAUGCUCAUAAGAGCUAAUCCAUCUAAAGCACAUUAGAUGUUCAUAAGAGCUAAUCCAUCCAAAACACACCAAUGGCUCCGAAGAGCUAGUCCAACCGAGACACACUAAAAUAGAGAGUAUAAAUAAGAGUUUGCAAAAAAUGUCGAACCUCGGUCUACUCGGGAAACAUAUAUAUCUCCACUCCUGUAACACCCCUUACCUGUAUUCACUACCAGAAUAGGGUUACAAGGUAUUACUGAUCAAUUCACAAUAUAUAACAUACAUAAAUCAAACUUAAAGCAUUCAUCUCAUAAAUCAUUUCACAUACUCACAUUGUCCGUUAUAUGGUCUUACGAGGCCUUAAACAUGCUUUAGAAAUGGUUCGGGACUAAACCAUAACAUAUAAAAUUUUUAGAAACUUAGAAAAAUUUCAAACAAACAAGGGUCACACGCUUGUGUGAACUGACUGUGUGCCUCACACGGCUCCAAACACGCCCGUGUCUUAGGCCGUGUAAAAAUAGGGCAUACAAACCAACUUGGGUUACAUGGCCGACCACACGCCCGCGUGUCUAACUCGUUGCCCUUCGAAAUGGCCACACACGCUCAUGUGCCAAGCCAUUUACUAGGCAGUGCCAAACCUGUAGGGUAUACUGACUUAUGCAACACGGCCAAGUCACACGCCCAUGUUCUAGGCCGUGUGCUAAUUAGGGGGUAUACUGACUUGUACCACACGGCCAGUCACAUGCCAGUGUGUGAGACUAUGUGGAGCAUACUGACUUCAAUUUAAUUUCAACACUAGGGGACACACGGCGUGUAGCAUGACCGUGUGUCACACAUGGCUGAGACAGACGCCCGUGUCUUUGCCCGUGUGGACAAAAAUAGGCCAUUUGCAAAGCCAAUUUGCCACCCCAAUUUCAAUGUACCUAUAUAAGGCAAAAUGGUACCAUUUCCAUACACAUUUAAACAGCCAAAUCAAUCUCAAAUCAUCACGUUAUAGACUAUUUCAAUUCCAAUCUAUUCAAAGCUUAUAUUACAAUCAUUUACUUAACUAAAUCACAUACAAAUCAACAAGAUUCAUAAGCCAAGAUUCACAUAUAUAACAUAUACUAUAUCAAUCUACUUUAUUAACCAAUUCAACAUUCAAAAACCAAACCAAAACCGAGUACAUCUCAAACUACUACAGAAGUCAGAUACUCAAAGAUUUUAAUCGAUAAGUAACUAUACCAUGGCCCAAAGCCAAAUCAAGGUAACUUAUCCCAGAGUACCUAUACCAUGGCUCGUAGCUAAAUCAAGGUAUCACUCACACCCGAAGUGUUGAUAUCAUGGCUCGAAGCCAACACAAUAACCUAAUGACAUGUCACUAGCAUCCUAAACUAUUCCUAAGUUUUAACUAGGAUUUUACGCUUGUUAGAUCAUCAUUGAAUCAUUCUCAAACUCAUCCGUAAUCAUAUUAUCACAAUUCAUGAUAUAUCAAAGCAUAUAAAAUACAUUCGUAAUGAAAUUAUAACAUACGAACUUACCUCAUUCGCUGUAAUGACGAAUUAAGUCAACUAAUUUUAUACUUUGUUUUCCGCCGUUCUAGAUCCAAAUCUCGUUUAUCUCAAUCUAUAUAAUAUCAAAAUUUACUUAUUUAAUCAUCAUUUCAUUCAAUAGCACAAUUUACACAUUUUGGUAAAAUCACAUUUUUUCCCCACUAUUUCGUAACUUUUACAAUUUAGUCCUUAUUUCACAAAAAUAAAAAUUCAAGCAAUUUAAUCCAAUUUCACCAUAGCCGAAUUUCACUAGUGUCCCUAGUAGCCCACAUAUUUCAUUUAUUUCACAUUGCAACCACUCAAUUUGCACUUUUCACAAUUUAAUCCCUUUUUGACAUUUUUGUCAAAAAUCACUUUACAAAACUAGUUUAACUAUUAACAAACUUUCAUAAUCUGUCAUAAUUCAUCAAAUUACUCAAGCAUUCAACAAUGGAAACUUGUUAAACCUUUAAAAAUUUCAAAAUCUAAGGUACAGGCUAGCUAGAAUACGAAGCAACGAUCUUUAAAAACGUAAAAAUCAUUAAAACAGAGCAAAAACAGACCUUCAAUUGAGCAUCAACAUGGCUGAACCCUAGCAAGCUUUCUUCCAUGGUUUUUCACCUCAAUAUUCGGUGGAAGAUAAAAAGUAACAAAGAUGAUAUCUUUGUUUCCAUUAUUUUAUUAUACCAAAUUAAUGAAUUACAUAUUUAUCCAUUAAUAACAACAUCAAAUUCACUUGAUAAAGUGCCCAUAAUUGUCCACUAUCUUUAUAAAUGGAAGAAUUACCACUUAAGGCCAACAUAUUUAAAAACCAUAGGAAUUAGACACCUUUUUAUUAUAGAACUCAAAUUUUACACUUUACGUGAUUUAGUCCUUUUUACCUAAUUAAGCAUUUAAACGGUAAAAUUUAUUUACGAAACUUUCACGUAAUAAUUCUAUCAUGCUGUAAACUUUAUUAAAAUAAUAAAAUAAAUAUUUUGACCUCGAAUUUAUGGUCCCGAAACCACUAUUCUGAUUUGACCCAAGAAUGGACUGUUACAACUCUCCCCCUUAGAGAUUUUCGUCCCCAAAAAUCUCACCAGAGAAUAAAAUGGAGAUUUGCUUUAUUAUAACCUUAUCAGUUUCUCAUAUAGCCUCGGAGUUCUCAACUCUUUAAUCUCAUGAGUUAAGAUUUUGAUCUAUCCUUCGCUAUACGUCAUAUCAAGCUGAAUUUCAUCUUCUGAAAAAGAUAUUAUAAACAAAGAGUCUUAUUUGAAUCAUCGCAUCAUAGAUAUAAGAAACAUAUUAUGGAUCUUCUCAAGUUCUAACAGUAAUAUAAGUUGAAUAAGCCACUGGCUUUAUUUUCUCAAUAAUCUCAUACGGCACGAUGAAUCACAAACUCAACUUCUCUUAUAGCUAAUUUGAAAAUUUCUAUUCUCACAACAAUGCUUUCAUAAACACUCAGUUCAUUAACUAAAAUUCAAUGCUUUUACGUAUCAAGUCUGCAUAUGUUUUCUUUCAAUCUAAAACUGCUUUCUAACUGUUACGAAUUACUUUCACUAUCUCUUCAAUUUCUCUGUUGAAAUAAAUCUCAUGAAUCUUUUUCUCACAAAGCUCUAUCCCAUAACAACUGAGUUCGGUAAUUGUAAUCAUACAAUAUUUUAUACAAUGUCAUCUUUAUACUCAUAUGAUAACUAUUAAUAUGCUCAAAUUCAACCAAUAUUAAUUGCCUUUCCUAAUUUCUUUCACAUAUUAAGAUACAGUAACAAAUCGUAUCUCGAGAAUUUGCAUCACUUUCCCAUAUUAUCCAUCAGUUGGAGAAUGAAAUAUUGUGUUACAAUGCAACCUCAUACCCAAAAUUUACAGUAGUUUUCUUUAGAAACACAAUAUAACCCUCAGAUCUUUAUCCGAAAUAAUGGAGACUGGCACUAUGUAAAAUUUUGACAAUUUCAGAAAUGUAUAACUUAGCUAGCCUAUCAAGAGAGAAAUUAUACAUAUUGAGAUAAAAUAAACAAACUUCUGCAACAAUCAACAAUAGUUCAGAUAACAUCUUCCUUUUACAAAAUCAAACGAAAUUUUAUUUCAUCUCCACUCAGAUAAUAGCACAGACUGUAACAGUCUCGAAGGUACUUGAUAAUCAACUUUAACCUAUUGAUAAAUCAGAUAUUUGGAUACAAGUCAGAAGUAUCAUGUUUUAGACUCAUUCACCAGUAAAAUUGUCUCAGAUUAUUAUACAUCUUAGAAUUCCCCGAAUGGACAGAUAAUUACCACUGUAAGCUAGAUAUAACAAUUGUUGUAUAAUCUCUGGAUUUCUUGGUACACGAACUCUGUCUCGAAACAACAAAUAAUCAUCGGUUCCAAUCUGAAACUCAAAAUCAGAAGUCAAUCCACGUUGAACUCUUUUAACUUUCAAUUCAUUGAUGCAUUUCUGAUAUUCACAAAAUAGAGGGAUAAACAUCAAUUUAGCUUUUAACUCAACUAAUAUCUAUCCAUCAUCUGAUAAGAUCAAUCGCGUAUUCAUCGCUUGUAAAGCACACAAAGAUUUCUUGCUUAAAAUAUUCGUGACUAUACUGUGUGUCCAAGAAGAUAACCAAUUACUGACUCAAAACCUUUCGACAGUUCAAGCUAUCUUUGCUGUCCCAAAUUCAGAUCUCUCUAUAACAUCAAAUAUUUUAAAUUCUUGCAGUCAUCCAAUAGGUUAUAUUACUCACCAAACAAUUAAUGUCGCUAACUAUUCAAUGCAAUUACAAUGUCAACCAUCUCUAAUUCACACGUCGAAUAACUCUUUUCAUGUAACUUUAACUGUAUGGAAGUGUAAGCCGUCACUGUACAUUCUUGUACUAAAACAUUCUCCAAACCAUUCAAUGACGCAUGACUGAAAAUCAUAAACUCUUUACCCAAUUCAGGCUGAACCAAAACUGAUGCUUCAGUUUACAGUGUUUUCAACUGUUUAUAACUUUAUUAACAUAUAUUAAACCAAAUUAAACUUUGCACAAAUGAAAACUUCAACAAUCGAAACAACUUUAAUUUACAAUAAUAUUUCUCAAACAGAACUGUUUCGAUGGAUAUAAUUCUAUAUCAUGUUUUCUAAAAUAUGAAUUCUUCAUUCAGACUAUUCAUCUAUUUACUUGUGAACACACAAAAUUUAUUCCCAAACCCAAGGAUAAACUCAAACACAUAUAACUCAAUUAACCUUUCAAACAAAUAACCCGAUCAAACUAAAUAACUUAAUAGAUCUUGACUGUCAAAUAAUAACUUUUCGAAGAAAACCUUUCUUUUUAGACAUACAACUUAUCACAAUUUCUUUAGGAUACUAGUCAUAGAUCUUCUUAAAAAAACUGCAUAAUUCGACUAUGACAUAACAUUCCGUCUUUACUCAUUGACAUAUAUCCAAAUUUACCUGAAAGUGAUAACUAUUAUACAGAUUUGAACUUGAUCUUCUCUUGUCUAUGCUUUUGCCAAUGUUAAUUCCCUUUUCAAGAAAACUAGAAAGGAUUUUAUAAUAAAACUAUCUCAACUAUUAAUCAUUGAAGCGUUAUAUUAUAUUGAAGCUACCUCCGUUAAAUAAAAAAAAAUCAAAAUGCCAUAGUAAGACCAACAUCUCAACCAUAUAAAUAGAUAAUAUCGCAGCUGUUAAUAGUGCAUUUUGAACAUAAAAAAUCAAAUAUAGUUUCAAUAAAAAUAAAUGUAGAAACAUAACCUCUAUAAAUCUGAUGACAAUACCACUGUACUCCCAUGAUCAAACUAGAAAUUAUAAUCAUAAUAAAUAUAUUCAUCCCCGUCAAAUGAAUAUCUCUUGCAAAUAAUCACUUAGAAUCAUAAUAAAACCGAGGUAGUGAAAUCUCAAGGUAUGGAACUAUACAAAAUUUUCGAAAAUUAUAACCCAUAUAGAAUGAUAAAGAUCUCAAUGAUAUCCGAGAGAAAUUCCAGAAGAAAACAUCACUCAUAAGCACUGAAAUCAAUUGUGACAAAAGUAAUAUAAUCUUCAUGUAUAUUCAACAAAACAAUAACCAAUAGAAACAAAAUACUAGCAUCACAUGGAUUUUACCGUUGACUUGUCCAUUAGCACAAUGGAAUAGAAUACUAGAGAAAGAUAGAGCAACGCCAAUCAUAACCCAAACAAACCAACAAUGCUUUCGUCUAUCAGUAUGUUUAGCUAGUGUUCUCAUACGAUAAGAGUUUCAUUCGAAAAUAAAUAGCCACAUAUACCUCUGAGAAUAAUUGAUCACGUAGAAUACCCAGACAAGAUCAUUAUAAGCUAUCCGACUAUAUUGCUAUACUCAGAUAUCUUUCCAGUUCAAACAUUAUUCCAUUUUCUAAUUUUGUCAUUAUUGAUUCCUCUUUAUCCCAUCACUAACAGAAAUCAGUUAAGUAGAACUUCCAGUUAAUACAUUAUUUAGAUAUCAUACCUGAAUAUUUUGUUUCAUCGAAGUUAACUUUUCUUUAAUAGUGCCUUUGCAUAAUCAAAAUAGCCUUCAAAAUAAUCCAAUAUCUCUUCUAGUACUGCCUUUAUUGUUGACUCAUUCUCUUACCUAACCACAGUAUUAAUCCUUCAAUCAUAGAACUCUAUAAUUCAACACUUGUGAACUUAUUCAAUCUAAAUCUUACAGAUUUCAUUAUAACACUACACUGAUAAAGGGGGUAAGGGUCGUAAAGCCUCAAAUUUAACUCUCACAUAUACAUGUACAUAACAUAACAUUUAUCAAUAACAUAAUAUUAUGAGCCUUUAUUCAUACCUCUAUGAAUUUCAACUCCUCAUAAACACAUUUUCGCUCAAAUAUUUGAGUACCACUUUCUACACUAUCGAAAUUAGCUCAGUUGGAAAGCAUAUCUGUCUAAUUAAAAUAAUUUUCGUCAAAUUCGGGAGAAAUAACACUAUCACAGGUUCUAUAUGACAUGUAUAGCUAGACUCACAUAUGCUACGUUAGUCCUAGAAUCAACUAAAUCGUAGCUCUGAUACCAAUAAAUGUAACACCUCUUACCCGUACUCACUAUCAGAAGAGGGUUACGAGGUAUUACCGAUCAAUUCACAAUAUAUAACAUACAUAACUCAAACAUAAAACAUUCAUUCUCAUAAAUCAUUUCACAUAAUCACAUUAUCCCUUAUAUGGGCCUACAAGGCCUUAAACAUGCUAUAGAAAUGGUUCGGGACUAAACCAAUAACAUAUAAAAUUUUUGGAAACUUAGAAAAAUUUCAAACAUACAAGGGUCACACGCCCAUGUGAACAGACCGUGUCCCUCACACGACUCCAGACACGCCCGUGUCCCAGGUCAUGUGGAAAUAGGGCAUACAUACUGACUUGGGUCACACAGCCGACCACACGCUCGUGUGUCUGGCCCGUGUGCCCUUUGAAAUGGCCAUACACGCCCAUGUUCCAGGCAUGUACUUGGCUGUGCCAAACUUGUAGGGAAUACUGACUUAUGCAACAUGGUCAAGUCACACAUCCGUGUGCUAGGCCGUGUGCUAAUUAGGGGGAAUACUGACUUGUACAACAUGGCCAGUCACACGCCCGUGUGUAAGACUGUGUGGAGCAUACUGACUUUAAUUUAAUUUCAACACUAGAGGACACAUGGCUGUGUAGCAAGACUGUGUGUCACACACGGCUGAGACACACACCCGUGUCUCUGCCCGUGUGGACAAAAAUAGGCCAUUUGCAAAGCCAAUUUGCCACCCCAAUUUCAAUGUACCUACUUUAAGGCAAAAUGGUACCAUUUCCAUACACAUUUAAAUAGCCAAAUCAAUCUCAAAUCAUCAUGUUAUAGACCAUUUCAAUUUCAAUCUAUUCAAAGCUUAUAUCACAAUCAUUUACUUAACUAAAUCACAUACUAAUCAACAAGAUUCAUAAGCCAAGAUUUACAUAUAUAACAUAUACUAUAUCAAUCUACUUUAUUAACCAAUUCAACAUUCAAAAACCAAACCAAAACCGAGUACAUCUCAAACUACUACACAACACAUACCAAAUGGCCAUUUGAAUAUCUUAAACCAUCAUUAAGCUUACCAAAAUAAUCCAUAUCACAUGGGAAUAUAUAUAUACUUUAAACCACAUAACUUAAUCAUGCCAUUUCAAAUAGCCAAAAACAUUUCCAACAACCAACCAAAGUAACCAUAACUAUACUUAUCAAACCUACAUCAUUGUCAGGCCAAAUCUAAUGGCUAAAUACACAUCAAGCAUAUACGCAUCAAUCACCAAUAUUACCUAUACUCAACAAAAAACCACAAAACCUAUACAUGCCAUAUAGCCAAUAUCACAAAGCUUAUUAGUACGAAACUAUAGCUGGACAGUGUGAUAUGAUCUCCGAUAACUUCCAACCCGAGCGAGCCUCUAAAUCACUAUAAAUAUAAAAAAGAUAACAAAGUAAGCUAUAAAGCUUAGUAAGUUCGUUUGAAUAAACUCAAUGUAAUCACAUAAAUAUAAUCCAAUAAUUUCAAUACAUUAAUAUGUACAAUCAAACCUUUCAAUUGCUCAUUCAUAAAACUAUAUACAUUCGUCAUCAAUCCUUCGAUUCAAAGCUAGAACGAAUUAUAUACAUACCUAUACCAAUUCGUACCAACCUCGUAAACUUUCUUGUCUUUCAUUUUCCUGUUGAAACAUUAGGAAUACAAGUUGGAUACUCAAAGAUUUCAAUCGAUAAAUACCUAUACCAUGGCCCGAAGCCAAAUCAAGGUAACUUAUCCUAGAGUACCUAUACCAUGGCCCAUAGCCAAAUCAAGGUAACUCCUCUCCGAAAUACCUAUACCGUGGCCCGUAGCCAAAUCAAGGCAUCACUCACACUUGAAGUGCUGAUAUCAUGGCUCGAAGCCAACACAAUAACCUAAUGACAUGUCACUAGCAUCCUAAACUAUUCUUAAGGUUCAACUGGGAUUUUACGCUUGUCGGAUCAUCGUCGAAUCAUUCCUGAACUCAUCCGUAAUCACAUUAUCACAAUUUAUGAUAUAUCAAAGCAUAUAAAAUACAUUCGUAAUGAAAUUAUAACACACAAACUUACCUCGUUCGUUGUAAUGACAAAUUAGGUCGACUAAUCCGAUACUUUGUUUUCCCUCGUUCUAGAUCCAAAUCUCGUUUAUGUCAAUCUAUAUAAUAUCAAAAUUUACUUAUUUAAUCAUCAUUUCAUUCAAUAUAGCACAAUUUACACAUUUUGGUAAAAUUACAUUUUUGCCCCUAAUAUUUCACAACUUUUACAAUUUAGUCCUUAUUUCACAAAAAUACAAAUUCAAGCAUUUUAAUCCAAUUUGACCAUAGCCGAAUUUCACUAGUGUCCCUAGUAGCCCACAUAUUUUAUUUAUUUCACAUUUCAACCGCUCAAUUUGCACUUUUCACAAUUUAAUCCCUUUUUGACAUUUUUGUCAAAAAUCACUUUACAAAACUAGUUUAACUAUUAACAAAAUUUCAUAAUAUAUCAUAAUUCAUCAAAUUAUUCAAGCAUUAAACAAUGGAAACUUGUUAACCCUUUAAAAAUUUCAAAACCUAAGGUACGGACUAGCUAGAAUACGAAGCAACGAUCUCAAAAACAUAAAAAUCAUUAAAACAGAAUAAAAACGGAUCUUCAAUUGAGCAUCAAAAUGGCUGAACCCUAGCAAGCUUUCUUCCGUGGUUUUUCACCUCAAUAUUUGGUGGAAGAUGAAAAAUAACAAAGAUGAUAUCUUUGUUUCCAUUAUUUUAUUAUACCAAAUUAAUGAAUGACAUAUUUAUCCAUUAAUAAUAACAUCAAAUUCACUUGAUAAAGUGCCCAUAUGUAACACCCCGUACCCGAGAUCGUUUCCGAAGUCGAACACGAGGUAUUUACGGACUUAUUUCAUUGACUUACACAGUUCAUUUUUUGUUUUUUUUCCAGACAAGCUGGCUAACUGCAUCACAGUCACUUUAAAAAUCAUAUCUCGAGUUCCGAAGCUCAAAAACUGAUUCCGUAAAUUUUCCCUGAAAUUAGACUCAUAUAUCCAUCUACAAAUUUUUUUAUAGAAUUUUUAAUCGGGCCAAUUAGUACAGUUUAUUAGUUAAAGUCUCCCCUGUUUCAGGGUUCGACUGCUCUGACCUUCAUGCAUUACGACUUAUAUAUCUCCCUGUACAGGGCUUCAAUACUUAUGCUGUUUGUUUCUAACGAAACUAGACUCAAAAAGGAAUCUAUACAUAUAUGGAAUGACCUCUAAUUAUCUCUGGUUAAUUUAUAGUGAAUUUCCAAAGUCAGAUUAGGGGAUCCAGAAAUCGCUCUGGUCCUGUGACAUGAAAACUUAAAUAUCUCUUAAAAUACGACUCAUAUGAUCGUUUCGUUUCUUCCAUAUGAAAGUAGAUUCAUCAAGGUUCGAUUACAUAAUUUAUUCACUAUUUAAUUCCAUUCCUAAUAUUUUUAGUGAUUUUUCAAAUUUACAUCACUGCUGCUGUCAGCAUCUGCCUUUAAGGUAGACUUUACCUAUUUCAUAGUUUCCAUGAUUCAACUAGCCCUUUAGCAUAUAUAGCACAAAAAUAUGAUCAUGAUUAACCAUUCCAAUGGCCAAUCAUUGCCAAGCAUAUCCACACCUCUCAAUAACCAUAUACAUACAAAAUGAUUAUAACACUAUGCUCAAAAUAUAUAAGCCAUUUUCGCAUGGCUAUCCAAAUAUAUACAACACCAAAGUACUUGACUAAUAACACAAGGGCAGUCCUAUACAUGCCAUUAGCAGAGUUCAACUAAAAGAGUACCAAAUGGGCUUUGAUAGUGUGGACGACUUCGACUUUGACAAUCCCGAGUCCGAUAGCUGAUGAACCAAAAACUAUAAAACAGAGAAUCAAAGAAACGGAAUAAGCAUUUAAUGCUUAGUAAGUUUUGAGCAAUGAAAUUAGAUACAAUUGAAGUAUAGCAUUCAUAUGACUAAAUUGAUAAUUUCAUAUACACACAUUCUCGAAAUCAUACCUACUUCACAUUACCAACCCUUAUACUCAUACAUAAGAGAUCAACUUAACCAAAAGCCGGAAGCUCAUUAAUCGACUGAGCGAAUACUAUUUAAAAGGAAUCAACUAAUCCAAUGCAUAUACGAAACAUACCUCAUCGUUGGGAUUUUACGAGCAUAUUAAUUGAAAUUAUUACAGCAAGAUCGCUCAUUCCCAAACCAAGUACCUUCGGGAUUUAACCGGAUAUAGCUACUCGCUCAAAUGCCUUCGGGACUUAGCCCGGAUAUAGUAGUUCGCACAAAUGCCUUCGGGACUUAGCCCGGAUAUAGUAACUCACACAAAUGCCUUCGGGACUUAGCCCGGAAUUAGUAACUCGCACAAAUGCCUUCGGGACUUAGCCCGGAAUUAGUAACUCGCACAAAUGCCUUCGGGACUUAGCCCCGUUAUCAUCCGAAUAUUCAUUCACAUAUCAGUAAAUCAUGACACAUCUUUAUUUCAUUUUCAUAACUAGAAUUCAAGCACAAGUCAAUUAUUAAGCAUUCCCAUUUUCGGCUCAAUAGCCACAUACAAACAGCAUGAUUUGGUUUGCUUUAUGACAUGAUCUCUAUGCACAUACGGCUACCCAUCAUACGUAUAGACUAAUUAACUCAACAUAUAAUUCAAGUAGAAUCAUUAUAUCACCGUAUAUUUGUUAUGAUUAUACGUCAUGACUUAAUCAAAUCGUAAACUAAGUUUCAUUACUCGAAAACUUACCUCGGAUGUUGUCGAACGAUUUCGACGGCUAUUCGAUCACUUUUUCCUUCCCUUUAUCGGAUUUAGUUCCCCUUUGCUCUUGAGCUUAAUUUAACAAAUAAAUUGAUUUAAUCAUUUGAACAUCAAAAAGAGAAACUCAAGGUACUUAGCCCAUAUAUACAUUAGACAUUAGAGUCACAUAUAUAUGAAAUAAUGAAUCAAACUCAACAUAUUAGCCCACACUCUCUUUUAGUCGAUUAUCUAAGCCAAGAUAAAAGGAUCAAUAUGCUUGCCUCUAACCGAAUACAUGCAACACCAAUCUACCUCAUGUGGCCGAAUAUGCAUGCCUAUGUUGAGGCCGAUUAUAUGCUUAAUACUUCCUACAAAUAUGGUUACUUGUAUUGACUACAUACCAUUUUGUUUCAAGUUCAAAACUCGGCUAAUACACAUAUAUACACUAGUAAUCAAGUACUAACAUUUGCACUUCACCUUACUACCAAUUCUCAUCUACUUCCUACCAUGGCCGAAUGCAUCAAGACACCAUACCAUUUCAAUUUUGGUCAUGGGUUAAACAAAGAACUUAAUGUCUAACUCAAAAAUGCUAAAAAGAAAAUCCAAGAGUCAUCAAUCACCAUCACAUGUAUCAUUACAAAGCUUUACACUUAGCAUGCAAAUGACAUCAACACAAGUCCACCUUAGCCGAAACUUAACUCAUCUUCAUGCCUCAUCACCACAACAUCAAACACCAACCAAGAAGACAACACCCAUGACCGAAUAUCAUCUCCAUCUCAUAGCAAAGAUUUAAACCAUGGGCUAGGUAGAACUCAAGCUAACAACUAAAAACAUGCAUGAAUCUCAUGGAACAACAUCAACAUACCUUAGUCUAGUGAACCACCAUAGCCGAUUUUCUCCAAGCUCUUUCCCUUCUUUUUCUUUCUUCUAUUCGGCCAAGUUGAACAACAUGAGAACUUUUUCUUCUUUUUUUUUCUUCAUCAUUUUCCUUUUCAUUAUUUUAUUACCAUACUUCUUAUUUUAUCAUUCCUCCCAUGAAACACUAACAUAACAUGUUUAUAAUCCCUUUUUACCCAUAGCAUGGCCGGCCACCAUCCCAAGUUUUGGGUAUUUUGACAUGCAAGGACAACAUUUUCUAGCAUGCAUCAAUAGGCCACUUUAACAUUUGCCUAGCACAUUUCUAAAUUUUCUCACACAAGUCCUAUUUAGCAAAAUUCACUUACAAUUAACAAAAUUCAAACAUGAAAUUUUCACACAUGCCUAUAUACAUAUAAUAAGCAUCAAAUAUAAUGGUUAAUUAUUUUUAUGACUCGAUCUUGUGGUCCCGAAACCACUUUCUGACUAGGGUCAAUUUAGGGCUGUCACAACUCUCCCCCACUUAAGAAAUUUUCGUCCCCGAAAAUCUUACCGGUAAAUAGGUUUGGGUAUCGUUCUUUCAUAGAGUUCUCGGUCUCCCAAGUAGCUUCUUCCAUCCCAUGUUUGAGCCAUAACACUUUUACUAAAGGAACCUUUUUGUUUCGUAACUCUUUCACUUCACGAGCCAGGAUACGAAUCGGUUCUUCUUCAUAACUCAUAUCGGUUUGAAUUUCAACCACUGAUGGAUUAAUUAUGUGCGAUGGAUCAGAUCUAUAACGUCGAAGCAUCGAAACAUGAAAAACGUUGUGGAUCCUUUCAAGUUCAGGGGGUAAAAGCAACCUAUAUGCAACUGGACCAACUCGUUCGGAGAUUUCAUACGGCCCAAUAAAUCUCGGACUCAAUUUGCCUUUACGGCCAAAUCUGAGUAUCUUUUUCCAAGGUGAAACUUUAAGAAACACUUUAUCUCCCACUUGAUACUCAAUGUACUUUCGUUUCAAAUCCGCGUACGACUUCUGACGAUCUGAUGUUGCCUUCAGACUUUCACGAAUUAUUUUUACUUUCUGCUCAGCAUCUUUAAUCAAAUCAACUCUGAAAAUUUUACUUUCACCGAGCUCGGUCCAAAACAAUGGUGUACGGCAUUUUCGACCGUACAAAGCCUCGUAAGGCGCCAUCUUAAUGCUUGACUGAAAACUAUUGUUGUAAGCGAGCUCAAUCAAAGGUAGAUUCCGUUCCCAUGAACCACUAAACUCAAGGAUGAAGCAUCUCAACAUAUCCUCGAGUAUCUGAAUUAUCCGCUCGGACUGACCAUCGGUUUGGGGAUGAAAAGCGGUGCUAAAAUGCAACUUGGUACCCAAAGCUUCUUGCAAUUUCUUCCAAAAUCGCGAGGUGAAUCUCGGAUCUCUAUCCGACACAAUAGAAAUGGGUACCCCGUGUAAUCUCACAAUCUGAGAAACAUACAAUUCAGCUAGUUUAUCCAGUGAAUAAUCCGUACGUACGGGAAUAAAAUGAGCCGACUUAGACAGUCUAUCAACAACAACCCAAAUUGCAUCUUUCUUACUUGUCGACAAUGGCAACCCAGACACAAAAUCCAUCGUGACUCGAUCCCAUUUCCAUUCAAGUAUCAUGAUCGGCUGGAGUAAACCCGUAGGCACUUGAUGUUCCGUUUUCACUUGUUGGCAUACUAAACACUUCGAAAAAAAAUCAGAAAUGUCUCGUCUCAUACCAUGCCACCAAAACUGACGUCUCAGAUCGUUGUACAUUUUCGUGCUCCCCGGGUGAAUUGACAUUCGGCUACUAUGAGCUUCGUUCAAAAUCAUCGAAAUAAGUUCUGAAUUUCUUGGAACACACAAAUGACUUCUGAACCUCAAACAAUCGUCGUCAUCAAUUUGAAACCCUGAUUCCCUGUCCGAAACACAUUCAGCUCAUUUUGCAACUAGUUCAUCAUCGACUUUCUGAGCUUCACAAAUUUGAUGAAUCAACAAUGGUUUGGCCUUUAAUUCUACCACUAACACAUUGUCGGAUAGAACAGACAAGUGUACAUUCAUCGCUCGUAAAGCAAACAGUGAUUUACGACUUAAGGCAUCCGCAACCACAUUAGCCUUUCCCGGGUGAUAGUCAAUGACAAGCUCAUAAUCUUUCAACAACUCGAGCCAACGUCUUUGUCGCAGAUUCAAGUCUCUUUGAGUCAUCAAAUAUUUGAGACUUUUGUGAUCCGAAUAUACAUGGCACUUCUCACCAAAUAAGUAAUGUCGCCAUAUUUUCAAAGCGAACACGAUGGCAACUAGUUCAAGAUUAUGGGUCGAAUAAUUUUUCUCAUGUGGCUUCAGUUGUUUCGACGCAUAAGCUACAACUCGACCCUCUUGCAUCAAUACGCAGCCCAACCCAAGUAGGGAUGCAUCACUAUAAAUGAAAAACUCUUUGCCUGAUUCGGGCUACACUAGUACUGGAGCUUCAGUCAAACAAGUUUUCAGUUGAUCGAAACUUUUCUGACACUUUUCUGUCUAUUCAAACUUAACAUCUUUCUGAAGUAGUUUCGUCAUUGGUGUGGCUAUCAUCGAGAAACCCUUUACAAAGCGUCUGUAGUAACUGGCAAGUCCCAAAAAGCUCCGAACUUCAGUAAUAUUUCUCGGAGGCUUCCAGUUAAGUAUGGCCGAAAUUUUGUUCGGAUCAACUCGAAUACCCGAUGCACAUACCACAUGACCCAAGAAGCUAACCUCUCUUAACCAGAACUCACACUUACUGAACUUAGCUGCUUAUCCCGUAAAAUUUGCAACACUAAUCCCAGGUGUUCAGCAUGAUCGGUUUCAUUUCUCGAAUAGACCAAAAUAUCAUCGAUAAACACAACUACAAACCGAUCCAAAUACGGUCUGAAGAUCCGAUUCAUCAAAUCCAUAAAUACCGCGGGGGCAUUAGUGAGCCCAAACGGCAUCACUAAGAAUUCGUAGUGAUCGUAUCUCGUUCUGAAAGCAGUUUUGGGUAUAUCUGAAUCUCGAAUUCACAACUGAUAAUAACCCGAUCUCAAAUCUAUCUUUGAAAACACUGAGGCUCCCUUUAGUUGAUCAAACAAAUCGUCAAUGCGCGGUAUCGGAUAUUUAUUCUUUAUUGUCACCUUAUUCAGCUGACGAUAGUCGAUGCACAACUUCAUGGUUCCGUCCUUCUUUUUCACAAACAAUACUGCUGCACCCCAAGGUGAGAAACUUGGUCGAGCGAAACCUCUAUCCGUCAACUCUUGCAACUGAGCUUUCAAUUCCUUUAAUUCUGUUGGUGCCAUACGAUACGGAGCUAUCGAAAUCAGUGUAGUCCCAGGUACAAGCUCAAUACCAAACUCUACCUCCCGAACAGGUGGUAAACCUGGUAAUUCUUCGGGAAAAACAUCCGGGUAUUCACAAACCACUGGCACAGAUUCAGGCUUCUUUUCUAACUCUUUGUCAUCAAGUACAUACGCAAGGUAUGCUUCACACCCCUUUCUUACAUAUUUCUGAGCCAACAUCGAUGAUAUUACAGCUGGCAACCUAUUCAAGUCAGUAGACUCAACUCGGAUCAUCUCAUUAUUUGCACACCUCAAAUCGAUAGUUUUUCUUUUGCAAUUCACAAUUGCAUCGUGAACGGUUAGCCAAUCCAUACCGAGGAUAACAUCAAAUUCAUCAAACGGUAAAAGCAUCAAAUUGGCCGGAAAGUAGGAACCUCUGAUUUCUAAGGGACAUUUCUUACACACUUUGUCGACAAGCACAUAACGACCCAAGGGAUUUGACACCCUAAUUACGAACUCAGUAGACUCAACAGGUAAAGUCUUACUGGUUGCUAAGGUUUCACAUAUAUAAGAAUGAGUAGAACCAGGGUCAAUCAAAGCAAUCACAUUAGUAUCAAAGAGAGUGAAAGUACCGGUAAUAACAUCAGGUGAAGAAGCAUCCUCGCGUGGACGUAUAGCAUAAGCUCUAGCAGGCGCACGAGCCUCAGAUCUGGUUGUAGCAUCUCUAGAUCCUCUCUGACCGCCACUAGCAUUGCUCGUGUUUCUAGACGGUCUACCCCGAGCAGUAGUUGCACCUGGUUUCCCACUCUGAUUUUCAUUUUGUUCAGACAGUCUCGGGCAAUCCUUGAUAAAAUGGUCAGCUGAUCCGCAUUUAUAACAUGAGCGGUCAUGGAAUAUACAACUCCCCGAAUGCCAUUUACCACAAUACUGGCACUCCGUUCUGUCUCGACGAUCGUUUCCAACACUAGCGACCGAAGUGACUCGUGUACUCACAAGGGGUCGGUCACGAUCUCGUCUAGAAAAACCCAAAGUGUCUCUAGACUGGCCUAAGUCAUCUCUAAAUUUCUUCGAUGACUGUUGGAAGGGCUUUCCCGAAGAUCUCUUACGAAACUCCUUUGCUCCCAUAUCAACUUUCCUUUUCUCCUUACUGAGCUCCUCGGCUUUGCAAGCUCGCUCGACAAGUACCAUAAAUUCUCGGAUUUCUAAAAUGCCAACAUACAGCUUUAUAUCAUCAGUCAGUCCAUCCUCGAAACGUUUACACAUCACGGCUUCUGAAAAAAUGCAUUCUCGAGCGUACCGGCUAAGCCUUACAAACUUUCGUUCAUAAUCGGUAACCGACAUGGAACCUUGUUUAAGUUCAAGAAAUUCAUUCCGUUUUUGAUCCAUGAAUCUCUGACUGAUAUACUUUUUCCGAAACUCAGUUUGGAAAAACUCCCAAGUUACUUGCUCUCUAGGCAUAACAGAAGUCAACGUAUUCCACCAAUAGUAGGCAGAAUCACGUAUCAAGGAGAUAGUACACUUUAGGCACUCAUUGGGUGUGCAAGAUAGCUCAUCGAGUACCCGAAUAGUGUUGUCCAACCAAAAUUCAGCUUGCUCGGCAUCAUCGCUGUCCGUAGCUUUAAAUUCAGUAGCCCCGUGUUUUCGGAUUCUAUCAACUGGGGGCUUAUUUGACCUUAUUUGGUCAGUUGCCGGAGGUAUUGUAGGUGCGGGGGUGGUAUUAGUCAGGAAUGGAGGUUGUGGAACAGCCGUAUUAGUUCGAAUGUAUUGGUUGAACCAAUCAUUCAUCACGCUAUAAAAAGCUUGUCUAGCUUCAUCAUUCGGAUUACUAGCAAUAGGUUGAGAGUCAGCCGGUGCUGUCCCUUGUGCGGGAGCAGGCGCUACACUCUCAAGAUCAUCAGCUACCGCUCGGUUGGGAUCGGGAUCCAUUACUAUAAAUAAACACAUUUUCAAUUGUCAGAAAUCACCACACUAUCAAAUAAUCACAUAAUGGCAUGUAUAGCUAGACCCAAACGUAUUACGGUAGUCCUAGAAUCGAUUAAACCGUAGCUCUGAUACCAAUAAUAUUGUAACACCCCGUACCCGAGACCGUUGCCGGAGUCGAACACGAGGUAUUUACGGACUUAUUUCAUUAACUUACACAAUUCAUUUUUUUUUCAUCAUUUUCCUUUUCAUUAUUUUAUUACCAUGCUCCUUAUUUUAUCAUUCCUCCCAUGAAACACUAACAUAACAUGUUUAUAAUACCUUUUUACCCCUAGCAUGGCCGGCCACCAUCCCAAGUUUUGGGUAUUUUGACAUGCAAGGACAACAUUUUCUAGCAUGCAUCAAUAGGCCACUUUAACAUUUACCUAACACAUUUCUAAAUUUUCUCACACAAGUCCUAUUUAGCAAAAUUCACUUACAAUUAACAAAAUUCAAACAUGAAAUUUUCACACAUGCCUAUAUACAUAUAAUAAGCAUCAAAUAUAAUGGUUAAUUAUUUUUAUGACUCGGUCUUGUGGUCCCGAAACCACUUUCCGACUAGGGUCAAUUUAGGGCUGUCACACCAUAAUUGUCCACUAUCUUUAUAAAUGGAAGAAUUACCACUUAAGGCCAACAUAUUUAAAAACCGUAGCAAUUAGACACCUUUUUCUUAUAGAUCUCAAAUUUUACACUUUGCACGAUUUAGUCCUUUUUAUCGAAUUAAGCAUUUAAACGAUAAAAUUUCUUUAUGAAACUUUCAUGUCAUAAUUCUAUCAUGCUGUAAACUUUAUUAAAAUAAUAAAAUAAAUAUUUUAACCUCGGAUUUAUGGUUCCAAAACCACUUUUCUUAUUUGACACAAAAAUGGGCUGUUACAACUCCACUCCCUAUAAUACACUAUAUCUCGAUUGUACUCUAUCCCACAUUUAAACCAAUCCAAAAAUCAAAAUUCAAUAACAUCGCUCAAAUAACCUUACAUCAUCUAUAAUCAAAUAUAUCUAUUAUACUAUUUUAUGUCAUCCAACAGCUCAUAUAGAUGUUAAAUUUUAAACCGUACGAACUUACCUGGACUGAAUUGUAGUAGUUAUAGAAGUUCAGGGACUAUUCUAUAAUUUUUUCCUUUUCAAUGAGUAUCAAUUGGGUCUUGAUCUAAAAUGCAAAAUUUAUCAAUUAUUAGCUUACAUUUCAUAUUCCAAUUCAUUUUAUAUUUUAUACCCUUUUAUUUUUUAAAUUUAUACAAUUACCCCUAACUUUUACAACUUUUGCGAUUUAGCCCUUUAACCUGAAAAUCAUUAAAUUAACCAUUUUUCUCAAAUCAACAUUGCAGAAGAAUAUACUAGGCCCUUAAAAAGUCCCUAAUAAACAUCAAAUUUACUAUCAAACCCUAAAAUUUUGACAUUUUCACAAUUUAAUCCUUAAAUCAAAAUCUAACAAAAAUCACUUCACAAAAUCACCAUACAACAUAAUCAAAGCUUCAAAUACAUACUUAUCAUAAAAAAAUUCAAUAUUCAUCAAUGGAAACUUCUAAAAUUUUUAACAGAUUCAAAAACGAAGGUAGGGUUAGCUGGACCUAGUUGCAACGAUUUCAAAAACAAAAAAAUUAUAAGACAUAAGUGAGAAUUGAGCUCACAUGCAUAAGGAUAAAGAAACCAAAACUUGAAGCUCUCUCCAAUGGUGGUUUCAGAAAGGUUGAAUAAAAAUGAAUUGGAAAUUUCUAUUUUUUUCAAUUUGUUUUCUUUAAUUUUAGUUUAUUUACUAUUAUGCCAUUAACUUAUAAUAUUCUAUCAUUUUUAAUUGUAAUUGUCGUACCAUACAUUAAUUAAGUCUUAAUUACCAUAUAUAUCCUCACUCAAUUACUAAUUGAGCCAUUUGAUCACCUAAAUGCAUUAAUUAACAAGUUUUGCACUUUUUACAAUUUAGUCCUUUUUCUUAAAUUAGCUACCUAAACGAUAAAAUUUCCUAAUCAAAUUUUAGUACGACUCUAAUGAAUCCAUAAAUAUUUUAUAAAUAAUACUUACAAGUUGACUCAACAGAAAAUUAUGGUCCCAAACCAUUGUUCUGUCACCAUUUAAAAAUGGGUUGUUACAUUUAAUCAAUUCCGAGGUACAACGAUGUUCUCAAAGACUGAUCUUUUGGCAUGUUGAAAAAUGAUUUUAGGAAUUGGUAUGGGCAUUAUGAGUUUUUGGUAAAGCCGUUUGGAUUGACUAAUGCUUCUAUUGCUUUCAUGGAUUUAAUGAAUCGUGUGUUUGAUUCAUACUUAGACUAGUUUGUGGUUGCCUUUAUAGAUAAUAUCUAGUGUAUUCUAGUUCUGAAGAGGAUCAUGAUGAGCACUUAAGGGUUGUUUUGUAGAUUCCUCAAGAUAAACAGUUGUUUGCGAAGUUAAGCGUGAAUUUUGGCUUAGAAAAGUGGCGUUCGUAGGUCAUGUUGUAUCGGCAGAAGGGAUUCGAGUGGAUCCAAGAAAGAUAGAGGCAAUUUUGAAAUGGAAGCCACCUAGGAGUGUUACUAAAUUUAGGAGUUUAUUGGGUUUAGCUGGUUACUAUCAUAGGUUUGUUGAAGGGUUUUCUCUUACUGUUGAACAUUUGAAAAAACUACUUCAGAAAGAUGUGGUAUUCGAAUGGAUUGAUGCUACACAAAAGAAUUUUGAUGAGCUUAAGGCAGUUUUGACUAAAGUGCCAGUGUUGAUUCAACCAUAACCUAGGAAAGAUUUGUAGUUUAUAGUGAUGCUUCGUACUUGGGACUUGGUUGUGUUUUGAUGCAAAAGGGUAAAGUUGUGGCUUAUGCUUCAAGGCAGUUAAAGACGCAUGAACAGAACUAUCCUACUCAUGAUUUAGAGUUAGCCGUUGUGGUAUUUGCACUAAAGAUCUGUCAUCGUUAUUUGUAUAGAGAAAAGUGUGUUAUCUAUAUGGAUCAUAAGAGCCAUAAGUACCUCCUCACCCAAAAGGAGUUGAAUUUAAGGCAAAGACGUUGGAUUGAACUGUUAAAGGAUUAUGUUUGCAUGCUUGAGUUUAGCUAGUAAUGGUGGUUUGUGCGCUACACUUCAAGUAAGGUUGACUUUGUCGCAACAGAUUAAGGAAAAGCAACCGUUAGAUGAAAAUUUACUGAAGAGGAUUCAACAGGUUGAGCAAGGUAUUAAGGGAGACUUUGAUGUUGAUAGUGAUUGUAUCUUGAAUUUUUGAGGUAGAUUGUGUGUAUCGCAAGAUGUGGAUUUAAGGCAAGCGAUCCUUACUGAGGCACAUAGUAGCCCUUAUGCUAUGAAUCCCAGUAGUGGUAAAACAUAUCAUGAUCUUAGGGAAGUUUAUUGGUGACCUGGUUUGAAGCAUGACGUAAUGAAUUUCGUGGUUGAUGUUUGGUUUUUCAAAAGGUGAAAGUUGAACAUCAAUUUCCUUCAGGGUUGUUGCAGGCUAUUGCGAUUCUUGAAUGGAGAUAGGAAAGGAUUACUAUGGAUUUUAUUUUGGGUUUGUCAUUGACUCCUUCAAGGAAAGAUUUAAUAUGGGUUAUAAUUGAUCAGUUUUUGAAAAGUAAGCAUUUCUUAGCGGUGCGAACCAAUUAUUCGUUGCAAAAGUUAGCGGAGUUAUAUACUGAUGAGAUUGUUCGUCUUCAUUGGUUCCAGUUUCGAUUAUUUUGGAUAGGGGUUUGAGGUUUACUUUAAGGUUUUGGAAGAGUUUACAAGAAGGUUUGGGAUCGAAGCUUAAUUUUAGUACGACUUAUCACCCCUAAAUUGAUAGCCUAUCUGAGAGGGUAAUUCAAGUUUUGGAAGAUAUGUUGCGAAGUUGUGUGAUUGAAUUUACUGGUAGUUGGGAGUGAUGUCUACUAUUAGCAGAGUUCACUUACAAUAACAAUUUCCUAGCAAGUAUUCACAUGGCACCGUUUGAGGCGUUAUGUAGAACUCAUUUGUGUUGGACGGAGUUGGAUGAGAGAUGAGUUGUUAGACAAAUUUAGUUCUUGAGACAAAUGAGAAGGUAAGGCUGAUUUGUGAUUGUUUGAAAAUAGUGUCAGAUAGGUAGAAAUCUUAUGCGAAUUUGAAGCGUCAACAUAUCGAGUUUGAAGUUGGCAGUAAGGUAUUUCUGAAGGUUUCACCGUGGAAGAAAGUUUUGAGAUUUGGUAGGAAGGGUAAGUUAAGUCCAAGAUAUAUUGGACCUUAUGAGGUUGUUCAGAGGAUUGGUUCGGUAGCUUAUCGUUUCAAGUUGCCACCAGAACUUGAGCGAAUUCAUGACUUUUUCCAUGUGUUUAUGUUAAGGAAGUAUCAUUCAGAUCUGUCGCAUUUAGUUCCAAUUGAGGAAAUUAAAAUUUGAGAUGAUAUUUCUUAUGAGGAAGAACCAAUUGAGAUUUUAUAUUAUAAAAUGAAAGUGUUGCGAAACAAAAGACUUCCAUUGGUUAAAAUUUUGUGGUAAAAACACAAAGUGGAAAAAGCUACUUAGGAAACUGAGGAAGCAAUAAGACAUCAAUAUUCGUAUUUGUUUAGCUCAGGUAAUUUCGAGGAUGAAAUUCUUUUUAGAGGGGGAGAAUUGUAACACCCUAAAAUAGGGCCUAGGAGUUUUAAGGGUAUUUUAGGAAUUUUAGUCUAUAUGAGCUCGAAAUUUUGUAAGGUUAGUACUCGACAAUGUUUUCGACUAUGGCAUCUUAACUUUUUAAUCAAUUUUUGAAAAAGUGUUCUAGAAACCCUUAAUUUUAGAGGAAGAACUAAUUUGUAACAAAGUCAAAUUAGUAGGCAUUUAUGUCGCAAUUUUACCAUUUUGUAAAAUUGAACCUAUUUCUUCCCCCGUCAACUUGUUUUUCGCGUCUAUUUCUUUUCCUUUCAUUGUGCUUGCCGCCCCUUCCCAUUCCCUUUCUCUUUAACUUGAUUUUUUAUUUUUAAACCACAAUACAUUGAUUUCCUAUAACUCCUAAGUCAUUUACCAUAAAAAAAAUCCCUAAGAAAAACACCCAAAACUUUAUAAAUUUCAUCAUCUUCUUCAAACGUGGGUUUUCUAGAUUUUUGUCAAAACUUGUUCAUUCUUCCAACAAAGGUAAUCAUUAAUGUAUCCAUUUGUUUUUAAUUUUAUUUAGACUCUAAAAUUGAAUUAUUAGCCCUCAAAUCGCAUGAAUUAGAUAAAAGCCGAAAAUUGAACCAUUAAUGAUGGAUUUCGUGAUUUUGAGUCAAAACAUGGUUUCAAAGUGUUUUUCAACUUGUUUUUAGCAUGGUUAGAAGGUUUUAAGCUUAUCUUGAAGUUUCGUUAAUGAUUUCUCAUGUUUUAAUGAAUUUUGUGAAAAUUACCUAAAAGAUGUCGAAAAAUGUCGAUACCAUGAAUUGAGUAGAUUUGUCUAGUUUGAAGGUUACAAAUCGCGUAGAUUAUUAAGUGGAUGAACGGAACUGAUUUUGUGCAAAAUUUUGAGUAUAAAUUGAGAUAUUAGUUCAAAAAGUUUGUUAUGUUAAAAGUUUAAGUCACAUGAGAACUUAGCUUAAAGGUUGUGUUUUAGUUUGUUUGAGCGAAUUAUUGGUUGAUAUUUUACUAUUGUUAUUGUAUGAUUUAUGUGUGUAAAGCUUCAUAUUCGUUAGAGCUUGCUACAAGCUAGGGAAGUGUUAGUUGAGCUUUCGAUUUUUUGACAAAAGCAUAAAGUGGUAAGUGUAUGAAAUUGCUACUCGUAAACAUGAGUCAUGUGUUAGUUGGGAAUUUAUAUGUAGCCUAAACCCUAUUCUAAAUUCCAAGUGUAAGUUUUCUUGAAACUAUAGUUAUCUUGUGGUUAAAUGGUUAAAUAAUAUGCAUGAUAUGUGAUAUGUGGAUAUAGUGACUAUUGUGUGAAGUGCAAUUAUGUUCAUGAAAUUAUAUCCUAUAUGACCAUGCUGGUGUUUUGCAAAAGAUGUUAAUAUGCAGCGAUGGUGAACGGUUAAUCGGUAAGUAAUAUGUGUUAUUUUUGAAUAUUUUGUCUUUGUGAUUUUGGAACCAUUGGAUAUAGUUGGUAUGCUAUAGGAUUGUAAGUACUCACCCAUAUGUAUAGUGAUUUAGGGCGUUAAGGCCCUGGGACAUGUUGGAGGGAUAAGGGAAAAUGAGCUAAGCUCCAUUCAACGAGACAUGUUAGGGGGACUUAAUAGAGUGUUAAUUGCAUGCUUCACUACUGCGACAUGUUUGACUUUACGAGUUUAUGUUUGGUGUGUUGGAGAUCCGUGUAUCCGAUGAGUGAUGAUAGAGCUCACUAUAUGUUUCACAACUCAAGUGCCAAUCUAUCUUAUCUUUUAUGACUGUGGAAAUAUGUAUCUAUGCUUUAUGUGAUGAAAGCUUGAAUGAGUAAAUUAUAUAUGUGUUAUGAGAAUGACCUACUAGAUGAUCAUGAGUUAAUACUUUAUGAUGCUAGACUUAAGAAUGUGGUGCUUGUGAGUAGUUGAUUGGUCGUGUUACAUGAUGACAUGAGUAGUUGAUUGGUCGUGUUACAUGAUGACAUGUUUACGUUGUAGAAAUUCUUGCAUUCACUGAGCUUGCUGAAGUUCACCCACUCAUUUCAACCUAUGCAGAUUAGGGAAGUCACGGUGUGGGCAGUGUGGUUUCUAAGGGAGUUGUAAUAUCCCGAAUUAGGGCCUAAUCAAAAUAGUGGUUUCGUGACCACAAAUUUGAGAUAAAAAUAAUUAUUUUAUAAUUAUUUUGAUUUUUAUGAUAUGAUUGCAUGAUUGUGUGAAAAUUUCGUGAUGAAAUCCUAUGCUAAAGUGCUUAAAUUGAAAUUAGGGACUAAAUCGAAUAAUUUGCAAAACUUGCAUUCUAUUAGUUUUUAGUAUGUAAUUGUUUUGGAAUAUUAAUGAGGAGGUCUUAAAUAGCAAUUUGACCAAUUUCUAAGUCUAUGGACAAAAAUUGGACAUGGAUGGAAUUUUUGGAAAGUUUAGUAGUAAGGGCAUUUUGGUUAUUUAGUUAUUAAAAUGAAUUAAAAACAAAAUUAAAAGCCAAUUUUUGUCCAUCUUCUUCAUUAGGCCGAAAUUUUAAGGUUCCUCCAUAGUUAGGGUUUGUUUCAAGCUUCCAAGCUCCAUAGUAAGUGAUUCCAAGCCCCGUUGUUAAUGUUCUUUACGUAUUUGGAAUCCCAGUACCUCGAUUAAGCUUAUGCUAGCAAUAAUUCAACCUAGGGUUCAUAUUUGGAAAAAUACCCAUAGGUGAAAUUUGUGUAUUUUGGUGUUUUAUGAUAGAAUAUGAGGUUUUAAAUUAUGUUAGACAACUUGUACUACUCGAUUUUAAGCGAAAACGAGUAAAAGGGCUUAAUCGGUAAAAAUACCUAAUAGUCAUAAGUACAUGUUAGAGUGUGAAUUUGAUGUUGCCAUAGAAGGGAAAAUGGUCAGCAUAUCAUAAAACAUAAGAAUAAGGGAUGAAGUUUAAUUCCCGAGCCUAGGGGAAAAAGUGUAAUUAUGAAAAAGUUUAGGGGCAAAAAUGUAAUUUUUCCAAAGUUCGUAUUAAAUGCUGUUUUGAUGAAUGUAUGUAUUAAAUAAGAUUAAUUUGGCAUUAUAGAUCAAGAGAAACAAGAUUCAAGUCGCGAUCGAGGGAAAAACAAAGUUUACGAAGAAUAGGCUCGAUUGCUAAUAAUUUUGUACCGAGGUAAGUUCAUGUGUAAAUGUAGUAACAUAAUUGUCAUUUUAAGCAAUUUAAUGUUGUUUAUAUGAUAUGAUGCUGAUUAUUGUCAUGAAAUAUUAUGCUUUGUGGUUAUUGUUGAAUGAUAUGUAAUUAUGUGAAUUACUUGAUGAGUAUGAACUAUCAUCGAAGUAUCAAUUUCGAUAUUCCGUGGAAGAUGGCAAAGAUGUGUGAUCGAGGAAAAUGCCCGUUUGAACCUUGGGAAUAGAUUAGAAUACAAGUGACAUGUCACUAGGAUGGUUGAGUUCCGAACUCGUUGAGUUGAGUCCGAGUUCGUGAGAUGUAACUAGGCAUCCGAGCUCGUUGAGUUGAGUCCGAGUUCACUUAUGGAUGCGAACGCCCGAGCUCGUUGAGUUGAGUCCGAGUUCACUUAUGGGCGAGUUACAUGGUAGCUUGGCUACAUAAGUUUCGCAGGCUAUUGAGUUUGUCUAGCUGCGGGUAUGGCUCUUAUGUUCAUGAGAUCCGCGUAUUCGAAUUAUAUUUCAAUGUGUUCAACAGGUGAAUCUUACGUGAAUAAAAAGAAGGCCUAAAACGAAGGUGACAUGUUGGUAUGUGUGGUAAAUGAGAAAAUUUGACAGGUAUGUGCUUAAAACCUCGGGUUGAAAACUUGGUAUGAUGAAAACGUAGAAAGAUAUUAAAUGUAAAUGAAACAUGAAUGUCUUGGUGUUGUUUAUGCAAAUGAUGUUUUAUGUGAGAUUGUGUGAUUAUGUUACUUGCUAUUUGCAAGUUAACUUACUAAGCAUUUGUGCUUACUCCCUCCUUUUCUUUCAUUGUAGUUUUGACAAGCCGGCUUGAGAAUCGGGUUAGGUCGAAGACUCGUUCACACUAUCCGAAGGCUUAAAUUGGUAAAAUGGCUUGUGUAUUUUGAAUGUGGCAUGUAUGGCAAAACACUCACUUUGUGUAAUUGAUCUUAUGAUAUGGCUAUGGUUUGGUAAGAAAAGGGUUUGUAAAUGAUUAGCCAUUGGAAUGGCCAAUCUAAGUCAUAUUUGAUGUUAUGUAUGUUUAAAAUGCUAUUUACUCCAUGAAAAUCCUUAGUAAAGUGAAAUUUGCCAUAAAACAGAAUCUGGCAGCAGUAGUGAUGUAAAUUUGAAAAAUCACUAAAAAUAUUAGAAAUGGAAUUAAAUGAUGAAUAAGUUAUGAAAUUGAAGCUUAAUUAGUCUAUUUUCAUAUGCAUUGAACAAAACAGGUAUAUAAAUUAUAUUUUAUGAGAUAUUUGAAUUUUUGUGAAACAGGGCCAGAGUGGUUUCUAGAUCCCCUUUUAUAACUUUAAAAAUUCAUCAUAAAUUGUAAAAAAAUAAUUAGAAGUCAUUAUUUAUAUGAAAACAUUUCUUAUUGAGUCUAGUUUUAAUAGAAACAAACAUCAUAGUCAUUGAAAUUCUGUACAGAGAGAUAUCUAAUUCGUAAUAUACAGAGGGCAGAGCAGUCAAACCCUGAAAUAGGGGAGACUUUAACUAAUAAAAUGUAGUAAUUGUAUUGACCAAAAAUUCUAGAAAAAAAUUAGUAAAUAGAUAUAUGAGUCUAGUUUCAGGAAAAAUUUAUGGAAUUGGAUUUUGAGUUUUGAAACUCGAGAUAUGAAUUUUUAAGCGACUGUGACUCAGAUUGCUAGCUUGACUGGAAAUUUUAAAAAUAAAUUGUUUGAGCUGUUUAAGUAAUGAAUUAAGUCUGUUAACACCUCGUGUUCGACUCCGGAGAUGGUUUCGGGUACGGGGCAUUACAUUUUGUGGUAUCAGAGCAGGUUUAGUCAGUUCUCGGACUAAUGUGUUGUAUGUACGGGUUUUGCUAUACAUGCCAUAUAUAUAUUGUGAUAGUGUGACGACUUCUAACCUUUUAAAUGAUUUUUUUAUAGUAAAUUGAUCCUGAUCCAGUUGCGGCUGAUGAUGUAGAGAGUAAUGCACCAGCUCCGACUGAAGGGGCAGUGCCAAUUGAAAAUCCACCUCCUACUGUUGGUCAAGGAGGAAGAGAAGGGGCUCGGGAAGCCUUUCUCCAGAUGAUGAGUGCCUGGUAUACUGAGUUCGUUCGUACGAACCCGAAUGCACAACCUCCCCCACCUCCCCCGAUUUCUCAACCCGUACCCCCGAUGCCUCAAGGUAUAGAUCUGAUGAAAUUUCACAAAACUCCAGUUGACAGAAUCCGUAAACAAGGGGCCGAAGAAUUCAGGGCAAAUAUUGAUGAUGAUGUCGAGAAAGCAGAGUUUUGGCUUGAGAAUUCUAUUCGAGUAUUUGAUGAAUUGUCUUGUACACCUGAGGAAUCCUUGAAAUGUGCUAUAUCAUUGUUGAGGGAUUCAGCUUAUCAUUGGUGGAAGACAUUGAUUUCAGUAGUAUCGAAAGAGAAAGUAACUUGGGAGUUCUUUCAAGAAGAAUUUCGGAAGAAAUAUAUCAAUGAAAGAUUUAUUGAUCAGAAGCGUAAAGAGUUUCUUGAAUUCAAGUAGGGGAACAUGACAGUUACUAAAUACAAAAGGGAGUUUGUCAGGUUGAGUAAGUAUGCUAGAGAAUAUAUUCCUACAGAAGCUAAAAUGUGCAGACGAUUUGAAGACGGACUCAAUGAAGACAUCAAAGUAUAUGCUGGGAUUCUUGAAUUAAAAGAAAUGGUAGUACUGGUUGAUCGAGCUUACAUGGUUGAAGAACUACUUAAAGAGAAGAAAAAGGUAGAGGCUGAGACUAGAAAUUGGAAGAAAAGACCGACGAGCAGUUCAUUCUCACAGCAAUCUAGAAAAUCUAGAAAUAUGAAUCCUCGUUCACAGGUUUCGGCUGGACAAUCAUAUGAAAAUUCUAAGAAGCAAAAUGUGGGUCCUAAAUCUCAGACUACUUCUGCAGCUAGUGUGGGAAAUACGAGAUUUGUUAAGCCUGAGUGCCAGCAGUGUGGCAGAAAUCAUUUUGGCCUAUGUAAAGCGAAUGAAUGUUUUCGGUGUGGUUCUCCAGAUCAUUUUAUUAGAGACUGCCCAGAGAGAGCUGAGAAAGAAAAAUUUCAGAAUGUAAAAGCUAGUGGUGCAGACUCGAGGGGAAGAUAUUCAAGAAAAGCUGGAAAGGAAGCAAGCAUCAAAAAUGUAGCCAGAGAUUCAGCAGCUAAAUCUGAAGCAAGGGCUCCAACUAGAACUUAUGUUAUAAAGGCACGUGAAGAUGCUUCAUCACCCGAUGUGAUUACUGGCAUAUUUUCUCUUUAUGAUGUUAAUGUUAUUGCUUUGAUUGAUCUCGGUUCUACUCAUUCAUAUGUAUGCAUGAAACUGGUGUCUAGUAUGAAUAUACCUGUUGAGAACACAGAAUUUAUGAUUAGAGUGUCGAAUCCGUUAGGCAAAUGUGUGAUAGUUGAUAAAGUAUGCAAGAAAUGCCCUUUAAUGAUUUAGGGUCAUUACUUUCUGGCCGACUUGAUGUAGUUGCCGUUUGAUGAAUUUAAUGUUAUUUUGGGUAUGGAUUGGUUGACAUUGCAUGAUGCUAUAAUAAAUUGCAAAGAAAAGGUUAUAGAAUUAAAGUGUGAAAGUGGUGAAAUUCUGCGAGUUGAACCAGACAAAUCUGGCAGCAGCAGUGGUGUAAAUUUGAAAAAUCACUAAAAAUAUUAGAAAUGGAAUUAAAUGAUGAGUAAGUUAUGAAAUUGAAGCUUAAUUAGUCUAUUUUCAUAUAGAUUGAACAAAAUAGGUAUAUAAAUUAUAUUUUAUGAGAUAUUUGAAUUUUUGUGAAACAGGGCCAGAGUGAUUUCUAGAUCCCCUGUUAUGACUUUAAAGAUUCAUCAUAAAUUGUAAAAAAAUAAUUAUAAGUCAUGCUUUAUAUGUACAGAUUCCUUAUUGAGUCUAGUUUUAAUAGAAACAAACAUCAUAGCCAUUUAAAUUCUGUACAGAGAGAUAUCUGAUUCGUAAUUUACAGAGGUCAGAGCAGUCAAACCCUGAAAUAGGGGAGACUUUAACUAAUAAACUGUACUAAUUGGCUUGACCAAAAAUUCUAGAAAAAAAUUAGUAAAUAUAUAUAUGAGUCUAGUUUCAGAGAAAAUUUACGGAAUUGGAUUUCGAGUUUCAGAACUCUUGAUAUGAAUUUUUAAGCGACUGUGACGCAGAUUGCUAGCUUGACUGGAAAUUUUAAAAAUAAAUUGUUUAAGCUGUUUAAGUAAUGAAUUAAGUUUGUUAACACCUCGUGUUCGACUCCGGCGAUGGUCUCAGGUACGGGGCGUUAUAGGAGUGAUCCAAGGAAGUCCGAUUAUUCUUUGUAGGUGGUUUAUUAUUUUUAGUUUUUUGAGGAGACAUGCAAUGUGGUUGACAUAUUAUAGUUAUGUUGAUUUCUAGACAGUUGACUCAGAUUCUAAGAAUAUCAUGUUAUUACUAUUGCUUAGGAUUGUAGACAUUAAAGUUGGCAUGAUGAUAUUUUUUUGGACUCCUUUUUGGUAUUUUGUACUGUUGAUUAAGCUGUAUGAACGAUUAUUUAACUUAGUAUUUGAUGCAUGAUGUUUAGGAACUAUUUGAGAUGAAUUAAUUGCUUAUCUGUACAGUAUCUUUAGCGCCAGUAGUAGAGGUAUUGAUAUUGGGCUUUGAAAAUGAUACCUAUGUGAAUUAAAACGUACAUGAAACAAAAUAGAGAUUUGGUAUCGAUACAUUUUCUCGAGUAUCGAUACUUGAGGAAGAAAUAUAUGUACUUUGUUUUGUGGAACUGAUAUUUUUCGAUAGUUGGGUUUUUAUUCAAGAAACAGUAUGCUCUUUUGGUAUCGUUUUUCCAAGUUAGCCCUUAUGCAUGUUUCUAACUGUAUGUAAGACUAAUUAACGAAUGGUUUGCAUGUAGAAAUGUUAAUUAACUAUUUGGACGACUUAAAACUUAUUCGAUUUAAAUUCAAUUUAAGUAAAAAAGAUCUGUGUCCUUGAAUCUAGUCCUAUCUUAUAUACAUGAGACAAGACGGUGGUGUGGCAUCCCGUAUUUGGGCUUGACGACCAAGCUGGGUAUAGUGUGUUACAGCGGUCACACGACGGGUUCGUCAUCGGCUCUGACUAAAAAAGCAUCACUACCUAAUGUCUACACAAUAUCUUGAUCAGUUGACUCCACUUAUUCCUGUUCAUUUCACUAAACUUAUGUUUUUUUCACAAACAACUUACUACGUAGCAAUGCACAUCCCUAGUUCUUCUGUUCCUGCGGGUACAUAUUUCGAGGCACCAACGCCCUCUGCAUUCUACACCCUAUGCCAACUUUAAUCAUGUCACAUAUACUGAGCUAGAUGCCACUGCAUGUACCUUCAACGAUGACAACACAGAUGUCGUCACUGAUCCAACAGUCGAUGCCAGUUUCGAUGCUCGGGUCAAUGCCGGUAUAUACGAGUUUUACGAAACCAUACACUUACAUACCAAUAGUGUCUCAGACACCUAGAGCAUUAUUGUUUUAUUGAGGUCAGUCAUCAGCGCAACCAUUUUCUGCUGAAGUGGAGGAUACAUGACGGGAGACUAGGACAGCACUGCUGUAACAGCCCAUUUUUAGUCAAAUCGAAAUAGUGAUUUUGGGACCACAAAUCCAAAGUCAAAAUAAUUAUUUUAUUAUUAUUUUAAUGUCUACAGCAUGAUAGUAUAGUUGUGUGAAAUUUACGUUAAGAAAUUUUAUCGUUUGAAUGCUUAAUUUGAUAAAAAGGACUAAACCGCGUAAAGUGUAAAAAUUGUGUUAUAUUAGCUAAAGGUGUCUAAUAGCUGUGGAGUAUUAAAGUGAAGGUCCUUAUGUGGUAAAUAACCCAAUAUUAUGAUAAUGGAUGAUAGUGGCUUUGUAAUUUUGAAAUUCGUGAUAUUUUUAAAGGUUAUAUUGGUAAUUAAGUAAUUAAGGUUGAUAAUAAAUAAAACAAAUUGAGUGUCAUCUUCCAUUAUCAUUUUAACGACCAAAAUUUAGAAUGAAUGGCAACCAUGGGAGCUUAAAGUUUCAGCAACCCAAAUUCCUUUGAUUAGGUAUGCAUUUUUAAUCCGUUUUUGAUGAUUUCUAUGUUUUUGAGGUCGUUGCAGCUUAGUCUAGCUAGCCCAAUGACUAAUUUGCAAAAUUUUUAAAGGUUUAGGGUUUUUUUGUUGAUGAAUGUUGAUGUGUUUUCAUGUUUAAUGGUAGAAAAUGAAUGCUUGUUGUUAGAUAAACAACAUUUGUUAAGUGAUUUUUAAUAAAGUGUUCAAAUAGGGAUUAAUUUGUGAAAUGUUGAAAUUUGGUGGUUAAAUUGUGAAAUAAAUUAAAAAUAUGGACUUUUAGGGACCUAAUUGAAAUUUGGCUAGUAUGAGUUUUGGUUGAAUUGCAUGAAUUUGUAAUUUUAUGAAAUAAAGACUAAAUUGCAAAAAAUGUGAAAUGUUAGGGGCAAAAAUGUAAAAAUGCCUUAAUGUGUGUCUUUGGAUUAAAUUGAAUAGAGAGGUAAUUAAAUAAGUUAAAUUUGAUAUUAUAUAGAUCAAGAAAAGCAAAAUACGGACUUAGAUCGGGGAAAGAAUAGGGUUUUGGAUUAAUCGACUCGCUUUGUCGUAUUUAUAUCGAGGUAAGUUCGUAUGUGUUAAACAUUAUUAUACUUGUAUUUUAAUGCUUUGAUAUUACAUAAACUGUGAAUACAACACUGCGGACAUGUUCAACGAUGAUUCAACGAGUGAGAAAAUCCCGGUUGAAUGUUAGGGAUAGAUUAGGAUAUGAAUGACAUGUAAUUAGAGGUUAUUAUUAUUUAGGGUGCUGAUCUGUACGUUCUACCGGUGGUUGAGUUAUCUGGCAUGUGUUGCAGAUACUUGUCAGCUUGUGUGAGCAGCACUAUGUAGUUACAUCAUGACCGUCAGCUUGUGUGAGCGAACCUAUUGAUAGCUCGAGAGUGAGCAUUAUUGAGAUAUGAUAUUGAGAUAGCUUCAGGUAUGUAUUGGCACUUCGAUGCAAGACGUAUUGAGAUAACUUCGACUAUAUAUAUAUUGGCACUUAAGGUGCAAGAUUCCCGAGUAUCCUGUAUUAUUCCAAAUGAUUCAACGGGUAUAUCGAAGAUAUGAAAUGGUGAGAAUAGAUACGUAUCAAUACAUGUAUGUAUGGAAGCUGAAUUUGUAUCGAUUAUAUGAAAGAAUUGAGUUCAUGGUUAAGUAGAUGAUGGAAUAUAUGUUAACAUUGUGGUUAAAUAUCUUGUAGUAUGUUAUAUGUAUAUUUCGAAUGGUAAAUAAAUGGUGAGUUUUGCUUAUUAUUUUCAUACGAGCUUACCAAGCUUUAUAGCUUACUUUGUUUAUUUUUCCAUGUUUCAUAGUGAAUUCAAAGCUAGCUCAGAUUUGGGGAGCGUCGGAGACUUCAUCACACUAUCCUACUAUCAUUUUGGUACUUUUGAACUUAAGUAUUUUGAUUAUAUGGCAUGUAUAGGAACUUUGGUCAUUUUAGGUUAUGGUUUGAUAAUGAAUUUAUCCAAUUGUAAUGGCUUGUAAAUGUUAAUGGUUUGGUUUUCUAUAUAGCCAUGAGAGUUGGCUUAAUUUGGUUAAUUUAGUUGUGCAUUUUAUGUGUACAUGACUUUGGUUAUGUGUUAAAUGAUGGAUAUGUGAUGCUUGUUGAUUAUAGGUGAUUUAGAUGUCAAAUGGUUGAUGAAUUAAGAAUUAGUAUGCUUGUGAACUUAGGUAAAAUAAUACAUGUUUAGAAAAUGACUAUGUUGAUGAUUUGAGAAAGUGAAAUUGAUAUAAAAUUGGAUGGUGUGUUGUGAGGUUGUAUACCUUGUGUUGUUGGUAUCAAAAUGGUAUAAUUUAUGCUUGGAUGAGUUAAAUGAAUUCCUAUAUAUGCUAUGUUUUGGUGCCAAAUGGGUUGGUGUAGGUACAUGCAAUUUGGGUGGCAAAAUGGCUUGGUAAAUAGCCUAUCUUUGUCCACACAGGCAGAGACACGGAUGUGUGUCUCAGCCGUGUGUGACACACAGUUAUGUUACACAGCCAUGUGUCCCCUGGUGUUGAAUGUGAAAUCAACUCAGUAUGCUCACACAGCCCAACACACAAGCAUGUGUCAUGGCCGUGUGGCAUAAGUCAGUAUACCCUACAAGUUUGGCAUGGCCUAGCACACGGCUUGGCGCACGGGCGUGUGUGGCCAUUUCUAGGGCACACGGGCUAGUCGCACGAGCGUGUGUGUUGGCCGUGUGACCCAAGUCAGAGAGUUACACGGGGUCAGACACGGGCUGGGACACGGCCAUGUGAUCGUAUUUUGAAUGCCCACACAGCCUAUGACACGUGCGUGUCUUUGGCCGUGUGAGAGACACUGGGCCACACGGGCGUGUGUCCCCUGCAUUUUGGAAAAUUUUCCAAGUGUUUCAAAAAUUUCUUGAGCAAUCGGUUUAGUCUCAAACUACUUCUAAAGUAUGUUUAGGUCUCGUAGGCUCGUAUUAAGGACAAUGUAAUUGAGUUUGAUUGAUGAUUGCAUGAAAUUUAAAAAUGUAUGUGAUACAAAUGUUUAAUUGUUUUAUAAGUCUGGUAAUGCUCUAUAACUCUAUUCCGAUGUUGAAUAUGGGUGAGAGGUGUUAUAUUUAUUGGUAUUAGAGCUACGGUUUAGUCUAUUCUCGGACUAACAUAGCAUAUGUGAGAGUCUAGCUAUACAUGCCAAUAUCUCUUGAAAAUUUAAAUCAUGUUUUCAUAUAGUAAAUGGAUCCCAUUCGAGUUGUAGCUGAUGAUGUCGAAAGUAAUGCGCCUGCCUCCGUUAACGGAGUAGCGAAAUCAAAUUCGAGACCUAUAUCAGGUAGCCAGGGAGGAGAGGCUAAAAAAGCCUUCUUCUAGAUGAUGAAUGAGUGGUUUACGGAGUUUGUUCGAACUAAUUCAGUUGCUCAACAACCUCUACCCCCACCUAAUCCCUAACCGGUUCUCGUAGCUCCUCAAGGUGUGGAACUUCUAUGACUGAAUAAGUCACCAAUUGAUAAGAUUCGAAAAUACGAAGCUGAAGAGUUUAGAGCUAAUGUUGACGAUGAUCCCAAGAGAGUUGAGCUUUGGCUUGAAUACACUAUUAGAGUAUUUGAUGAACUUUCUUACACACCGGUAAUCAGAGUAUUUGAUAAACUUUCUUGCACACCGGUAGAGUGUUUAAAAUGUGCCAUUUCACUCUAAGGGACAUUGCAUAUCAAUGGUGGAGUACUUUGGUGUCUUUGGUACCGAGAGAAAGAGUUACUUGGGAAUUCUUUCAAGUUGAAUUCAGGAAUAAAUAUAUCAGCCAACGAUUUAUUGAUAAAAAAUGCAAAGAGUUUUUGGAGCUGAAACAGCAUAUGUCUGUGACUGAAUUUGAGCGAGAGUUUGUAAGGCUUAGUAAAUAUGCUCGGGAGUGUGUUUCAAUUGAGGCCAUUAUGUGUAAAAGGUUUGAAGAUGAAUUGAACGAAGACUUCAGGUUGUUGGUCGAGAUUCUAGAAUUGAAAGAAUUUGUUGUUUUAGUUGGCCGAGCUUGCAAAGCCGAAGAAUUGGGCAAAGAAAAGAUAAAAGCUGAUUGCGAGGCUAGAGUUUCAAGAAAAAGAUCGAUGAAUAUACCAUAUAAAUCCUCGUCAAAGAAAUUACGGGAUUCGUAUACUCGUUCAAAUGCUUCAAUCGAGUAUCCAAAUAGAGAUUAUGAAAAGCAAUACUCAAGUCCUAAAACACAAGCUACAUCAGUAACGAGUGUUGGUAGCGUGAGAAACAAUAAGCCUGAGUGUCAACAGUAUGGUAAACGACAUUUAGGAGAUUGUUGGAUGAGUAAUAAUAAUAAAGCUUGUUCCAGAUGUGGUUUGCAAGAACACUUUAUUCGUGAUUGUCCUCAAUUAUCUGGGAAUGGUAAUCUUCAGGCUUUAAGGCCAAGUAAUAUAGUUGCCAGGAGUGACCACCUCGAAGUGCUGGAAAUGUGACUAGUAGUAGAGGAACGACUAAAGACUCCGCUAUGAGAUCCGAGGCCAAAGCACCUGCUAAAGCUUACGCUAUUCGUGCUCACAAAGAUGCAUCAUCACCAGAUGUUAUCACCGGUACAUUUUAUCUUUAUGACACUAGUGUAAUUGCUUUGAUUGAUCCUAGGUCGAAUCAUUCAUAUAUUUGUAUGAAUUUGGUGUCUAGUAAGAAUUUUCCUAUUAAGUUUACUGAGUUUGUGGUUAAAGUGUCGAACCCCUUAGGAAAAUAUGUUUUCGUUGAUAAAGUUUACAAGGGAUGUCCUUUGAUGAUCCAAGGUUACUAUUUUCCGGCUGAUUUGAUGUUUUUGUCAUUUGAUGAAUUCGAUGUGAUACUGGGUACGGACUGGUUAGUUCUGCAUGACGUUGUUGUGAAUUGUAGACGAAAGGUUAUUGAAUUGAAAUGUUAGAAUAAUGAAAUCCUUCGGAUUGAAUCUAAUGAAUCGAGUGGAUUACCUAUUGUGAUAUCAUUGAUGUCAGCUCAGAGAUGUGUGAGAAAAGGUUGCGAAGCUUUUCUUACUUAUGUUUUGGAUACAAAAAUUUCUGAAUCAAAAAUUGAAUCUAUGCCAGUAGUCUGUGAGUAUCCGGAUGUGUUUCCAGAAGAGUUACCAGGGUUGUCACUAAUUAAAGAGGUUGAGUUUGCUAUAGAAUUGGUGCCGAGAACAUCACCGAUAUCUAUAGCUCCGUACAGAAUGGCUUCAAAAAAAUUGAAAGAAUUGAAAGCUCAGUUGCAAGAGUUAACAGAUAGAGGUUUUGCAUGACCUAGUUUUUCACCCUAGGGUGCCCCAGUGUUAUUCGUAAAGAAGAAAGAUGGAUCAAUGAGACUUUGUAUUGAUUAUCGUCAGCUCAAAAAGGUUACAAUAAAGAACAAGUAUCCUUUGUUGAGAAUCGAUGAUUUGUUUGAUCAGUUGAAAGGAGCAACAAUGUUUUCAAAAAUUGAUUUGAGAUCUAGUUACUAUCAGUUGCAAGUUAAGGAUUCAGAUGUGCCAAAAACUGCAUUCAGAACAAAGUACGGGCAUUAUGAUUUUCUUGUUAUGCCUUUCGGAUUAACUAAUGCUCCUGCAGUUUUUAUGGAUUUGAUUAAUCGAAUUUUUAGACUGUAUUUAGACAAAUUUGUGGUUGUAUUCAUUGACGAUAUUCUGAUCUAUUCCUAACAUGAGUCUGAGCAUGCUGAACAUUUGAGAAUUGUGCUACAAACCUUAAAAGAUAAGAAACUAUUCGCUAAAUUCAGUAAAUGUGAGUUUUGGCUCCGAGAAGUCAGAUUUUUGGGACAUAUUGUUUCAGCUAAAGGCAUACGAGUUGAUCCAAGCAAGAUUUCUGCAAUUGUUGAUUGGAAACCAUUGAGAAAUGUAUCUGAAGUUAGAAGCUUUAUGGGGUUAGCUGGCUAUUAUCAACAUUUUGUAAACAAAAUUUCAAUGAUUGCUAUACUGAUGACCAAGUUACUACAGAAAGAUGUGGAGUUCGAGUGGUCCAAAAAAUGUCAGUAGAGUUUUAAAUAGUUGAAAGCAUUGUUAACUGAGGCACCAGUUUUGGUUCAACCUGAGUCGAGUAAAAAGUUUGUGAUUUUUAGCGAAGUGUCAUUGAACGGUUUGGGUUGUGUUUUGAUGCAAGAGGAAAAAGUGAUAGUUUAUGCCUCGAGACAGUUGAAACCACAUGAAAAGAAUUAUCCGCUGUACGAUUUAGAGUUAUCCGCUAUUGUUUUCGCAUUGAAAACUUGGUUACAUCAUUUGUACGGUGAAAAGUGUCAUAUCUUUACCGAUCAUAAGACCUUGAAAUAUAUAAUGACUCAAAAAGAUCUGAAUUUGCGACGACGAAGAUGGCUUGAGUUGCUAAAAGACUAUGAGUUGGUGAUUGAUUAUCAUCCGGGGAAAGCGAAUGUAAUCACGGAUGCUCUGAGUAGAAAAUCAUUAUUUUAUUUGCGGGCAAUGAAUACUUAGCUAACCUUAUCUGAUGCUGGUUUGAUUCUAGUAAAGUUGAAAGAUAAACAGGUAUUUCUUCAGCAAAUUUGUGAAGCUCAGAAGUACGACAACGAGUUGCAAGCUAAAAGAGUGCAAUGUGAGUCGACUAGUGAUUCAGACUAUCAGAUCAGAUCCGAUGAUUGUUUAAUGUUCUGAGAUAGAAUAUGUGUACCAAAGAAUCCUAAGCUUAUUCAAAAAAUUCUAAACAAAGCACACAGUAGUUGUUUAUCUGUACAUUCGGGGAGUACAAAACUGUAUAAUGAUUUGAAACAAUUGUAUUGGUGGUCAGGCAUGAAACAAGAAAUUUCAGAGUUUGUAUCAAGAUGUUUGGUUUGUCAACAAGUUAAAGCUAAACAUCAAGUACCUUCAGGAUUACUACAGCCUAUGAUGAUACCAGAGUGGAAAUGGGAUAGAGUUACGAUGGAUUUUGUAUCGGGAUUGCCUUUGUCUCCAAAAAAAAAAGAUGUUAUUUGGGUUGUCGUUCAUCAAUUGAUGAAAUAAGCACAUUUCAUUCCAGGACGUACAGAUUAUUCGCUUGAUAAAUGUUUGAAUUGUACAUAUCUGAGAUCGUUAGAUCGCAUGGGGCACCAGUUUCGAUUAUUUCGGAUAGAGAUCCGAUGUUCACGUCGCGAUUUUUAAAGAAAUUACAAGAAGCUCUGGGUACAAGGUUGAAUUUUAAUACCGUGUUUCAUCUGUAAACCGACGGUCAAUCUGAGAGAGUAAUUCAGAUUCUCGAAGAUGUGCUUCGUCUAAUUCAGAUUCUCGAAGAUGUGCUUCGUUUUUGUGUUUUAGAAUUUUAAGGUAACUGGGAGAAAUAUUUACCAUUGGUUGAAUUCACAUAUAACAACAGUUUUCAAUCGAGCAUAAAAAUGGCACCGUACAAAGCAUUAUAUGGUUGCAAAUGUCGAACUCCACUGUACUAGACCGAGCUUAGUGAGAAAAAGAUUCACAGGGUUGAUUUGAUUAGAGACAUAGAAGAUAAAGUAAAAGUAAUUCACGAUAGUUUGAAAGCAACUUCAGAUCGACAGAAAUCAUAUGCGGAUUUAAAAUGAAAAGACAUUGAAUUUCAGAUUGGUGACAGAGUAUUUCUAAAAGUAUCUUUGUGGAAAAAAAUCCUUCGUUUUGGUCGUAAAGGCAAAUUGAGUCUACGAUUUAUCGGGCUGUAUGAGAUCAUCAAAAGAAUAGGACCAGUGGCAUAUCAACUAGCAUUAUCAUCAGAAUUAGAAAAGACUCACAACGUGUUUCAUGUAUCGAUGUUGCGACGAUAUUGAUCUGAUCCAUCACAUGUAAUUUCCCCGUUCGAGAUUGAAAUUCAGCCUGAUAUGUCGUAUAACGAAUAACUUAUCAGAAUUUUAGCUCAAGAGGUUAAAGAAUUGAGAAAUAAAUGCAUAGCUUUAGUGAAAUAUUUGUGGCAAUGACACGAUGUCGAAGAGGCUACAUGGGAGCCUGAGAAAACUAUGAGAAAAAAAUACCCUAACCUCUUUUCUGGUAAGAUUUUCAGGGAUGAAAAUUCUUAAGGGGGAGAGUUAUAACAACUCGUUUUUAGUCAAAUCGAAACAGUGGUUUUGGGACCAUAAAUUCGAAGUCAAAAUAAUUAUUUUAUUAUUGUUUUAAUAUCUAUAGCAUGAUAGUAUAGUUGUGUGAAAUUUUUGUUAAGAAAUUUUAUCGUUUGAAUGCUUAAUUUGGUAAAAAGGAAAAAAUCGCGUAAAGUGUAAAACUUGUGUUCUAUUAGCUAAAGUGUCUAAUAGCUGUGGAGUAUUAAAGUGAAGGUCCUUAUGUGGUAAAUAACCCAAUAUUAUGAUAAUAGAUGAUAGUGGCUUUGUAAUUUUGAAAUUUGUGAUGUUUUUAAAGGUUAUAUUGGUAAUUAAGGUUAAUAAUAAAUAAAACAAAUUAAGUAUCAUCUUCCAUUAUCAUUUUAACAAUCAAAAUUUAGAAAGAAUGGCAGCCAUGGGAGCCUAAAGUUUCGGCAACCCUAAUUCCUUUGAUUAGGUAUACAUUUUUAAUCCAUUUUUGAUGAUUUCUAUGUUUUUGAUAUCGUUGCAGCUUAGUCUAGCUAGCCCAAUGACUAAUUUGCAAAAUUUUUAAAGGUUUAGUGUUUUUCCAUUGAUGAAUGCUGGUGUGUUUUGAUGUUUAAUGGUAGAAAAUGCAUGAUUGUUGUUAUAUAAACAACAUUUGUUAAGUGAUUUUUAGUAAAGUGUUCAAAUAGGGAUUAAUUUGUGAAAUGUUGAAAUUUAGUGCUUAAACUGUGAAUAAUUGAAAAAUAUGGACUAUUAGGGACCUAAUUGAAAUUCGGCUAGCAUGGGUUUUGGUUGAAUUGCAUGAAUUUGUAAUUUUAUGAAAUAAGGACUAAACUGCAAAAAAUGUGAAAUGUUUUGUGCAAGAUUGUAAAAAUGCCUUAAUGUGUGUCUUUGGAUUAAAUUGAAUUGAGAGGUAAUUAAAUAAGCUAAAUUUGAUAUUAUAUAGAUCAAGAAAAGCAAAAUACGAACUUAGAUCAGGGAAAGAACAAGGUUUUAGAUUAAUUGACUCGUUUUGCUAUUUUUAUAUCCGAGGUAAGUACAUAUGUGUUAAACAUUAUUAUACUUGUGUUUUAAUGCUUUGAUAUCACAUAAAUUGUGAAUACGACACUGCAGACAUGUUCAACAAUGAUUCGACGAGUGAAAAAUCCCGGUUGAACCUUAGGAAUAGAUUAGGAUACAAAUGACAUGUCAUUAGGGGUUAUUAUUGUUUUGGGUGCUGGUCCGUAUGUUCUACCGGUGGCUGAGUUAUCCGGCAUGUGUUGCGGAUACUCGUUAGCUUGUGUAAGUAGCACUGUGUAAUUACGCCAUGACCGUCAUCAGCUUGUGUGAGUAGACCCGUUGACAGCUCGAGAGUGAGCAUUAUUGAGAUAUGAUAUUGAGAUAGCUUCAGCUAUGUAUUGGCACUUCGGUGCAAGACUUAUUGAGAUAGCUUCGGCUAUAUAUAUAUUGGCACUUAGGGUGCAAGAUUCUCGAGUAUCCCGUAUUAUUCCAAAUGGUUCAAUGGGUAUAUCGAAGAUAUGAAAUGGUAAGAAUAGAUACGUAUUAAUACAAGUAUGUACGGAAACUAAAUUUGUAUAAAAUAUAUGAAAGAAUUGAGUUCAUGGUUAAAUAGAUGAUGGAAUAUGUGUUAACAUUGUGGUUAAAUACCUUAUAGUAUGUUAUAUGCAUAUUUUGAAUGGUAAAUAAAUUGUGAGUUUUGCUUAUUAUUUUCAUAUGAGUUUACUAAGCUUUAUAGCUUAUUUUGUUUAUUUUUUCGUAUUUCAUAGUGAAUUCAAAGCUAGCUCAGAUUUGGGGACCGUCAGAGACUUCAUCACACUAUCCUACUAUCACUUUGGUACUUUUGAACUUAAGUAUUUAAAGUAUAUGGCAUGUAUAGGAACUUUGCUCAUUUUGGGUUAUGGUUUGAUAAUAAAUUUAGCCAAUUGUAAUGGCUUGUAAACGUUAAUAGUUUGGUUUUGUAUAUAGCCAUGAGAGUUGGCUUAAUUUGGUUGAUUUAGUUGUGCAUUCAUAUGUGUAUAUGUCUUUGGUUAUGUGUUAAAUGAUGGAUAUGUGAUGCUUGUUGAUUAUAGCUGUAACACCCUUAACCUGUAUCCGUCACCGGAAUAGGGUUACGAGGUAUUACCUAUUAAAUCACAACAUACAACACACAUUUCUCAUCCAAGAAUCCAUUAAUACAUAAACAUCAAUCCAACAUAGUUACAUUGUCCCUUAUAAGGCUCUACGAGACCUUAAAACAUGUCUGGAAGAGGUUCGGGACUAAAUCAAUAACAUUUGAAAAUUUUGGGAAACUUAUAAAAUUUUCAUGCAUACAAGGAUCACACGCCCGUGUGAACAGGCCGUGUGCCUCAUACUGUCACCCGACACGCCCGUGUCACAAGCCAUGUGGAAACAGGGCAUACAUACUGACUUGCAUCACACGGCCGGAAACACACCUGUGUGCCUUGGCCGUGUAAAAUCUAAAGGGUACACUGACUUGGGUCACAUUGCCGGUCACACGCCCAUGUGCUAGCCCGUGUGUCACACACGGCCAGUAGACACGCCCGUGUGUCUAAGCCGUGUAACUCACUGACUUGUUUAAUUAAGUUAUAGCAGACACAUAGUCGAGUCACACGCCCGUGUGCUCAACCGUGUGGGGGCGCAAAUAGGCUUGGUUUAAGCCACAUUUCUCACCCUCCUCAAGCAAGCCAAAACCAUAACAUUUCAUACCAUUUCAACACAUUUAUAGGCAAGCAAAACAUGCUAUUUCAUAUACAAAUCAUGCCAUUUAAAAUCCAUCUAUUUCACUACUCAAAUCAUAAUCCAAAACAAGCUAAAACAAUAUGCCAUUACCAACAAUUUCACCUAUCUUCUAUAUGCAUUUUUCUCAUCAUUUAUCAUCUAUUUUAAACUUAAAAUCAUACCAAUUAAUCAUCACAACAUCCAUGACAAACAUGCCAAAACACAAGGCCAUUUAUAUACAUCAUAUUUCACUUACCAAACUCAUAAAAUAAGCCAACCCAAAUAGCCAAAAACACACCAACAUUUACAUCACUUAUGAGCCAAAUCUCAUGGCUAAUAUCAUAUCUCAAAACACAUCAUCAUAUCACUAGCCUAAACAUGCCAUAUACCAUAUUUACAUAGCAACAAAAGUACCAACAAGUUGAUCGAUAGUGUGAUGGUGUUCCUAAUGAUCCCCGAGUCGGAGCUAGCUUUGAUUAUCUAAAAAGAAUAGGGAAAGAACACACAAAGUAAGCUUUAAAAGCUUAGUAAACCAUAUACAAAUAAAAUUACCACAUGAAUCGACAUCAUUUUCAUCAAUAAGCAAACUAUGAGUAAGCACAUAUAAGCUCACAAACCUUUCCCAAUGUAUACAUAUUCAAUAUCAUGAAUGAAUUCAUCAAAUACUUCUCUUUUCAAUACUUGUAUAAAUCUCGUACGUACCUGAGUCACUUAACUCAUUCACACAUUCUUUCUUGACUUGACUUUGCCAUUUGAACCUGUUGGAAUUGUUAAGGAUACUCGGAAAUCACAUAUAGCUCUUAAAAUGCCAUAUCUUAGAUAUGGUCUUACAUGUUAUCACAUAUCGAUGCCGAUAGCCUAGCUAUGGUCUUACACAAAAUCAAAUAACGAUGCCAAUGUUCCAGACAUGGUUUUACACAUAGUCACAUAAUGAUGCCAAUGUCCCAGACAUGGUCUUACACAUAUAGACGGGACUUUUGGAUAUUGUAACCCUGUCAAUUCUUGCUUGUAUUUGAUCAUUCAACAUUCAUAGUAGUUCAAUGACAAUUAAACAUAUAUAAUUCAAUUUAAAGAUAUUUAUUUGCAUAUGAACUUACCUUAUAUUCGGGAUAAACGGACUGGAUCGACUAUUCGAUCACCUUUGAUUUUCCUUGAUCUAAAUCCGAUUUCUUUCAUUCUUGAUCAAUUGAUCCCUCAAAGUGCCAAAACCUAAUGGCUUCAAUGGCUUCUUCAAUUUGUAAUUUCGGUGGUGGAAGAUGAUUAUGAAACAUAUUUUCUUUUGUUUUUAAUUAAUAUUAACUUAAUAGCCUAAUUACCAUUUUAACCUUUAUAAUAAACAUAUAAAAUCACUUAAUAUAAGGUCAUCUAUGUUAAAUUCCAUUAUCAAUGGUUUAAUAAUAUCAUAAGGACCUUUCAUUUAAUAAACCAUAACAAUUAAGCACUUUAAACAAUAGAAUGUAACUUUUGCAUUUUAUGCGAUUUAGUCCUUUUAUCAAAUUAGACAUCCAAUCGAUAAAAUUAAAUCACGAAACUUUCAUACAUACAUGCUAUAAUACUAUAAGCACAUAAAAUAAUAUUAAAAUAAUUUUUUGACAUCGAAUUUAUGAUUCUGAAACCACUGUUCCGAUUUAGCUAAAACCGGGUUGUUACAAUAGGUGAUGUGGAUAUCAAAUGGUUGAUGAAUUGAGAAUUAGUAUGCUUGUGAACUUAGGUAAAAUAAUGCAUGUUUUGAAAAUGACUAUGUUGAUGAUUUGAGAAAGUGAAAUUGGUAUAAAAUUGGAUGGUGUGUUGUGAGAUUGUAUGCAUUGUGUUGUUGGUAUUGAAAUGGUAUAAUUUAUGCUUGGAUGAGUUAGAUGAAUGCCUAUAUAUGUUGUGUUUUGGUGCCAAAUGGGUUGGUGUAGGUACAUGCAAUUUGGGUGGCAAAAUGGCUUGGUAAAUAGCCUAUUUUUGUCCACACGGGCAGAGACACGGGCGUGUGUCUCAGCCGUGCGUGACACACGGUUAUGUUACACGGUCGUAUGUGCCCUGAUGUUAAAUUUGAAAUCAAGUCAGUAUGCUUCACAUGACCCCGUACACGGGUGGGUGUGUUAUGGCCAUGUGGCAUAAGUCAGUAUACCCUACAGGUUUGGCACGGCCUAGCACAUGGCCUGACACACGGGCGUGUGUGGCCAUUUCUAGGGCACACGGGCUAGUCACACGGGCAUGUGUGUUGGCCAUGUGACCCAAGUCAGAGAGUUACACGGGGUCGGGCACGGGCUGGGACAUAGCCAUGUGUUCACAUUUUAAAUGUCCACAAGGCCUAUGACAUGGGUGUGUCUUUUGCCGUGUGAGACACACGGCCGGGCCACACGGCGUGUGUCCCCUGUAUUUUGAAAAAUUUUCUAAGUGUUUCAAAAAUUUCUUGAGUUAUCGAUUUAGUUCUGAACCACUUUUAAAGCAUGUUUAGGGUCUCGUAGGCUUGUAUUAAGGACAACGUGAUUGAGUUUGAAUGAUGAUUGCAUGAAAUUUAAAAAUGUAUGUGAUACGGAUGUUUAAUUUUUUAUAAGUCCGAUAAUGCUCCGUAACCCUUUUCCAGCGUUGAAUACGGGUGAGGGGUGUUACAACUACACUCGAGCACGAAUGAAGGCGAUGGAGACCAAGGUGAAGACGAAGAAAAUGAUGAAGGCGAAUAUGAACAUGAACAUGAAGAUGAUGGCGACGAGGGUGGGGGUAAAGACAAACAUAAUGAGGACAAUGGUAACGAAUCAGUUUAUGAGCCCUUAGUAAUAGUUGUACGCAGAAAUCCUCCUCACGAUAGUCACCCACUGUCGUGCGGCACACAUUCUCCCUGAUGAUGCGGAUGAUGUAUUUUUUAACUUAUCUAUAACGAUGUAAAUAUAGAUGACAUCAAUAAAGAAACCAUAAAUUUUCAUUGUAACUCAUAUCUUCCUCUUUGUUACUUUCUAAUGUAAGUUAAUAAGAAACCACAAAUUUUUAUUGCAACUCAUUUUUUAUUCAACUUGGGUCCCGUUCGAUAUAUUGUUAGUUCAAAUAAUCAUAUCUAUGUCUCUAUUUCUAAGAGUCAAUCUAGCUUUGAUAGUCAAGAUAAGUUAUCUCUCCGAUUGGACUGAUAGACAAGAUAAUAGUCCUAGUAUGAAUUAUUUGAUCAAUUUGAUUCUAUGAACUACAAAUAAUUUAGAUUAACUACUAGUAUAAAUUGUCUCCUCAUUUUAUAAUCUGAUCAUAUAAUGUAACGUAUUAUUAAUUAAACCUUGAAUAAUUAGUGAGUCAAUAUUCAUUUAUUCAUUUAGUUUUCACAUUUGAAAACACUCAUAUAAAGUAUAUUAAGUGAACACAUUGUAAUUUUAUUUAUUAAAUCAAUUAAAAAAUUAAAAACUAUGAUGAAAUCAUUCAACUUAGAGCACAAAUUCUAACCUAACAAGCUUUAAAAAAAUGUAGUUGAACACCGAUAAAAUUAUGCAAUUACUAAAGCCCAAUUUGACAAAUGAUGCUUUUCUAGUUUUCAUCCAAAUUAUGAAACAAUUAAAAUACUUGAAAAGUAAAGAAACUUUGAAAAAGCCUCCAUUUUUUUUAAUCAAUAACGAUAAUUUUACUAAAACCAAUACAAAUAUCACACCUUUCUUUUGGAAGAAAUUCCGGUUAUUAUUGGGACUGGGUGUUAACCCAUUUGUCGAGUUGACUAGUGGAGAAACGUGUGAAGGCAAUUCAUUGUUUGGACUUUAGAGUAAAGGAAUUGGAUUGAUGGUUUUAUUAUUAAAAAUAUAUAAAAGUAAUUUGAUUCAGUUUAAUUAUUGAGAUCAAUUGCUUUGUAUUGAUUUUUAAGUCAAUUGCUCUGAUGUUCUAUCUAGAUUAAUAUUUCUAUCAGUUUUUAAUUUAAUUAAUUUAAUCCAAUUCAAACAACCAUAGUUAGAAUUUGAUUGAAUAAAAAAAUUUAAUUGAAAACUAAAAAUGGAGAGGUUUAAUUACAUUUCCAUCCCUUUACUUUUAGAAAUUUAUAAAAUUUUUAGAAUUUAUUAAAAAUUUAUUAUAUUUUUAAAUUUUCAAAUAUUUUUUUAAUACUUGUUGACAUGACAUACAAAGACGGAAUAUAAAAAGAGUCAAAGGGGCUUGAUCCUCUCAAAAAUUUGAAAAAUGAUUAAUAAACCCUUCAAAAUUAUUCAUAAUUUACUUAGGCCCCCAAAUUUGUUGAAAAAUUUAAUUAAGCUCUUUAAAAGUUUUGAAAAUUUUAAUUAAACCCUUUUAAAAAAAUUAAUUACUCAUUAAUUUUCUAAAAAAAAUUAAAGCCUUAUUUUUUUUUUGAAAAAUCUCAUUAAACAUCAAAAAUUUUGAAAAUUUUAAUUUGAUCUCUCUAAAACUUAAUGCCACAUUCGGCCACCGAUGGCUUAAAAGAUAAAAUAAUGGCACAUCAACAAAGAAGGGUAAAAAGAGCUAAAUUGAAUAAAGAUGUAAAGUUCACGAGUUAAAUUUAUUAUUAUGUCAUAUAUAUAUAUAAUCAAAAUGAACAUUUAACGAUAUAAUUUUAAUAGAGAGACUAUUUUGCUAAUUCAUCUAAUAUACACAGACUAAAUUUUCACAUAUCUAUUUUUCUAUAUUUUCAGAGAAAGAGAAUUAAUACAUGAUAGAUUCGAUAAAUGCAAUAUGAGAUACAUUAUAGGGACUGAUAUGGAAAGUUUAUCGAAAAAAUAUGAACUGUUUUAUAAUAUAUAAAAAGCAAAAGAAAAUGGGAAGUUCUCAAGUUUUUUUGAAUAAAUGAAAAUAAGCCCAAUUAUUUCAACGAUAAUCAAAAUGAACAUUUAACGAUAUAAUUUUAAUAGAGAGACUAUUUUGCUAAUUCAUCUAAUAUACACAGAUUAAAUUUUCACAUAUCUAUUUUUCUAUAUUUUCAGAGAAAGAGAAUUAAUACAUGAUAGAUUCGAUAAAUGCAAUAUGAGAUACAUUAUAGGGACUGAUAUGGAAAGUUUAUCGAAAAAAUAUGAACUGUUUUAUAAUAUAUAAAAAGAAAAAGAAAAUGGGAAGUUCUCAAGUUGUUUUGAAUAAAUGAAAAUAAGCCCAAUUAUUUCAACGGGCUUUAAAUUGGGCCGUUUUAGCUGAUUCAAAAGGUCGGUAAUUAUCGGAAGCGAUACUCUGAUACUCAGGGUCUCAAAGCGGUCAAAAGUCAAAGUCUCUCCCCAUAAUCCCUAAUCCCUCACCAGAAAAAAAUCCAAUUCCCCUUCCCCCAAAUCAUAAACCCUAGCCAUAGCAAUUGAAUUGUCCCGGAGAAGGUCGCCAAGAUGGGAAAGAAACAGCACAGCAAAGAUCGAAUGUUCAUAACGAAGACGGAGUGGGCUACCGAGUGGGGCGGCGCUAAAUCCAAAGAAAAUCGUACCCCUUUCAAACGACUUCCCUUCUAUUGCUGCGCGUAUGCCUCACUUUCCAUUCCCAUUUUUGCUUUAUACCAUUUUUGCUUUAUAUCUUAUUAUAUUCAUUUUUUUUCUGGUUGUCUUAUUCAGCCUUACAUUCACGCCCUUCGAGUUGCCUGUAUGCACGAAGGAUGGCAGCGUCUUCGAUUUAAUGUUGGUAUCUUUUCAUUUCGUUGUUACUUAUUUCAAGCUUUUAUAUAGUGUAAUUUAGGGGGUUUUGUUAUUUUUUUAUUGUUUUCUUGUGCAGGAAUGUAGUUCCCUAUAUAAGAAAGUAUGGGAAGCAUCCGGUUACUGGGGCUCCAUUGAAGCAGGAGGAUCUUAUCAAUCUUACUUUCCACAAGAACUCUGAAGGUUUGAAAUAUUUAUUUUCGAGUUCACGUUUUAAUUCAAUGAACCAAAGAAAUUGAGCAAGCCAUAUAAUAUACUGCUGUCAGGUUUCAACAAAGUAUGUUGUAGAUUUAGAAGUAAAUUUUCUAAAGUUCAUGUUAAAAGGGGAUACUUGUUUGAAAUAUUGUUCCUUUUAGUAAAAAAAUAUAGUUUAAUUAAGAUGCUGUUCCUUGUGUGAAUUGUCGAUUUGAUUAUAGAUUACAUUAAUUGCUUUCUAGGUUCUUUUAUUUGGUGCAUGAGAUAAAUGGUGGAUGUAUAUUUUGCAUGAGUUACAGCAAUUUCCUGCAAAACUAAAUAUUGGUCUUCUAUUCUUUACCUGACUUCUUAUAACUUUUUCAACAAGGUUGAACUUGAGUGUGUGUGUGUGUGUCUUCAUUUAGCUAUGACAUGUGAAUUUUGGAUGUUAGACAGUUACCUGUUUUGGGUUGAAAAAACGAAACCAUGGGACGGUUGUUGCAUGUUAUAUUUAGGUUAUUAUUGUCAUUUUCUCUAUAAACGAGCUUGUGAGGAUGCAAUUUCUGCCCGCUUUUGUAGUUACUUCCUGUUCUUUAUUAUUUUAAAUACUUAAGGUUCUGCCAGACUAGAGUGCACUUCAUCUUUGGUUUAAUUUUGAGCCAAAAAUCAAGAAGUUGGAAUUAGAGUCUGCUUGUCUAUGGCCUCUUUCUUCAGUGUCACAGUUUAAUAUUUGUAGGUUCUGUCAAGACAACCUUCUGCAAUUACUGUGAAGUUGGUAACAAGGGUAGUAGGGGAAAUUGCACUUGCACAUACUAAUAAAUCCUAUGUUUGUUAUACUUUGAAAUCAUAUCUUUGGGGAAUCAAUUUUAACUAAAUGAGAAAUGGAAUAAAUGCUUGAAAUACUCUUUGGUGAUGGUGGAAAUAAAGGCUAUUAAUUCUCAUGGGUAAUAGAUGUAAACCUUGCUAUGGUCUUCUUAUUACUGUUGUUAUAUUGAUUAUACUGGUGCAAUUUGAUAGAAGGCUGUUCAUGAAUGUUGUUCUACUUUAUUGUUUUAUGUGCAACUAUGUUGGUAUGCUGGUUGCUAUUCUUUUCAGUUAUAUAUAUUUUAGAAUUGACUUUAUUUUAGAUGUCUUUAGUAUUUGCACGUUUGGUUUAGUUUUCAUGCCUCAAGGAUAUUGAAAUGGUGCCUUAAUGCAGGGGAGUAUCAUUGUCCUGUGCUGAACAAAGUUUUUACCGAGUACACACACAUAGUUGCUGUGAAGACUUCAGGAAAUGUUUUCUGUUAUGAGGUAUAGUUUAUUGCUUAUAUUGUCAACAUUUCCUCUUAAGGUCAGAUAGAUGUGUUAAAGCAUGAUACUGUUUUUCCUUUUUUUUUCUAUUGCAGGCAAUUAAAGAAUUAAACAUCAAGACCAAAAAUUGGAAAGAGCUUCUUAUAGAUGAACCUUUCACUAAGGAAGAUAUAAUUACAAUUCAGGUAAGCAGUGCAUUUAAUUCAUAUUCUGUUUUUAUUUGAUUAAUACAACAAUUAUGAUACGAGUCACAAAAGCCUAAAUUCUUGAAGGCGAGGCCCAAUAAGCAAAUUCCCAGCCCAAUCAAGAAAUCCAUCUAUACUUAGUUGAAAAUCAGGCCAAAUUGUCAAAGUGGCCCAAGUUGUAAAGUUUUAUUUUUAUUUUUAUUUAUUUAUUUACUUAGUUUAAAUUUUUAUGUCAAUAUUCAGCCUAAGAGUCCCAGAUAAAAUGACCUUUGACCGAAAUUUCAUAUUAAAAUAAUUAUAAGUUUUUUUUAUUUUAGUUUUCUAAUUAGAUUAGGACUAGUUAUAAGGCCUAUUUAAAGGCAUGUCUGUCCACCUUGUUAAACACUUAUCAUUAUUAUUAAAAUUUUCAGAUUUGUUAAGAGCAGAAUUUUCUUUGAGUUUUCUCCAAGAUUUAUCUCUUAAGUUUUCUUUAUAAGUUGUUUUAACAAUCUUUUUGAUUGUGGGAGCCAUCUUUAACCUUCUUCUUACCAUUGAUAUUCUUUGGAGGGGAGAUUAGAGUCGUUUGAAGGGAGUUGUGAGAUCUUUCGAGAUUUCAAGGCUUCUUAGGACUUAUCUUUUAAUUUCUUACUGUCAAUUCUUUCUUUAUUUCUACUUGGGCUGAAUCAUUAUCUAAUUUAUUUUCUGUUCUUAUUGUAUUUUCAGCCUUUUUUUAUAUUAAGGAAUCAGCCCAAAAAUCUCCAAUUUCUAGGGUUUUUCUAUACUCUUUUUGGGUGAAAUUAGAUUGUCGAAAUUUAGAGAAAACUAUCUUGGUGUUCAAUUGGGCAGAAUCACAAUCUCCUUGAGGUUUUCAAGAACUCUAACACUUAUUUCUAUUCUCUAUUUGAUUCUUUACUGUUUUGGGGAUUUUAUUUCAGAUCUGAAAUUUAAAAAUCUAAUCUUUUAAUUUUUUGUUUCGUUUCAGAUCUAAUUGUUUAGGGUUUUCGUAGGAGUUUCUCGUGACUUGGCAACUCGAUCUUGGUCCGCGCGUAAUCCCGUAUCAUUUGGUAUCAGAUUUUGGGCGUUUUGGGUGUUCUUGGUUAAUUUUUAAACUGAUCUCUAUUUUUUAAAUUACAAACAGCAGUUUUACCCAGAAAAAUUUUCGAAAAAAAUUUAUUUGAGUGGGUAAACGUUUUCUGAUUGAUCUGAAAUUUUACAUACAUAUUUUUGGCACUGUUAUUGAAUAUACAAAAAUAUUUCCCGCAAAAAAAUAAGUCGAAAAAGUCAAAAAAUUGAAAAAAGACGAAAUCCAAUAAAAAAUUAAAAAAAUAUUCAGCGGGUUGAAUUUGGUGCCCAAAUUUUUCAGAUCAAAAAUUCAAUAUUUUAAGACAUUCCAGAUUUAAUUUUGUGAUUUUUAGAGAUCGGGAACACCUCUAACGAAGUUGUUAAGUUACUCCGCAGUUUUUCGGGUUUUCUGGUUUUAGCAAUUUUUAUUGAUUCUUAGCUGUAGGUUUUCAUUUGUUAACCUUUAUUCUUCCUUUACAUUAUCUAACACCUUCUUGUUUCUUGUGUUAGUAGGAUUUAAACGUGUGCAAAACUUCUUCCUCGGUGCAACACGAAUCAAUUGGUGUCUCGUCAGUUUUUGGCAUCCUAGUGCAAAUUAAGAUUCUUUAGUAGUUUGGUUCAUACUCUCUAAUUGGUUGAUAUAAACUCUGAUAAAGAACUCACAAGAUUGAAUUCGACCUCAUUGAGAAUUUGAUUUUUUCUUUUUGAGUGAUUAACGGUGAGGUUUGAUAACUUUUAUUUUUGAGUGUUUAGUGUUUUGCAGGUUUUAAAAAAAAUGUCUACAGGUGAUAAUAAUAGUGACAUAUUUAAAAAAUUCCAACAACAGUUGGACGAACAGGCUGCUGCACUUCGAGCGUUGACUGCUACUAUCAAUACGGUGCGGUUGAAUCAAGAGCCUCAAUAUCGAGAUCAAAUUCAAGACGAUGUGGAUAACCAGCCUCCUGCUCAUAGGCGCGCUCCUCGACGUGUCCCUAGAACUGAUUAUGAUCUUCAUGAUCGUGGACAACCCUCUUUGGUAAAACCAAAGAGCGAGCAGCAACGAGAACAUCUCUUUCAUACUCGCUGCCAUGUACAAGGUAAGCUUUGUAGAGUUAUUAUUGAUGGUGAAAGUUGCUCGAACGUAGCCAGCACGACGAUGGUGGAAAAGCUUUGCUUAACCACUACCAAGCAUCAACGACCUUAUCAACUACAAGGGCUUAGCAACGAAAGCCAAUUUAAGGUCACUCAACAAGUGCGCAUCGCCUUUUCUAUCGGUAAGUAUCAAGACGAAGUUGUGUGCGACGUAAUGCCUAUUCAAGCCUGCCAUUUGUUGUUAGGAGAACCAUGGCAAUUGGAUCGAAAAGUCACUCACGAUGGUCGUACCAAUAGGUAUUCUUUCAAGUAUCAAAGAAGGAAAAUCACCUUAGUGCCGCUCACUCCGGAACAAGUCCAUGAGGACCAAAUCAAACUGAAAAAUUCUGUUGUUAAAACAAGUGAGGAAAAAGAAAAAAGAAUGAAAAAGAACAAAAAGAGAUUGAGAGUGAAAAGGAAUGUGAAACAAAAAAGAAAAUUGAAAAAGAAGUUGAAGAAAUAAGAGAAAAUGAGUUAGAAAAAGAAACAAAAGAAAAAGACGAGGAAAGGCUAGUGAGGAAUGUUUCCACUAACCAAGUUAUGAAUUUUUCUUGUGUUGCUACUUUUCAGAUUCCUGAAAGAUCGAAAGAUAAUUUUCAAUUUCAAUACCUCUCAAAUGAAAGACGCUUUCAUACGAUCAACUUAAGCAAAGAUGAAAUCACACUAUAUGAUCCCGAAGGUAAGCGAGGUAAGGAAAUUUUAGAAAUCGAGUCCAGUGCAGAUUUGAAAAUUAUUGAUAAAACUUUUGGUGACUUAGUUCUUAAAAGAUUCUCUCAUUUUGAUCCGAUUAAUUGUUACUCUUCGAUUGUGGUUGAUAAAGUCAUUACGAAAAGAAGCGUGAUUUGUUAUUCUCUUGAUUUACCUUGUAUAAAAUCCUUGAAUUUGUCCAAAUCUGUUUUGGAGAAUAAGGUAACGAAAUUUUCCAAAUUUGUUUUCAAUUUAUAUUCGUGCCUUAAACAGUUUAUGUGGUUGUACAUGAAGUUUGAGUUCCAUUUGACAAACGUUAACUCAACAACGAAGAUUCGACUACACUAUGCCCCCGAUGAGCGAAGGUUUGUUUUAAAUGAAAAAGGUAAAAUCGACCCUUAUUCUUCUGCUUAUCGAGGUAAGAUGCUUGAAACCUUUGAAACAUUUUUGUACUCCUCGGAUAGUGAUAAAGAUCGUGUUGAUGAACACUUAGAUUGAAACGUACUUGACUGUCCUAUUUUAUUUAUUGAUGAUCUAUCUGUUUUGAUGGUUGAUAAAAAUAUUCUUGUUUUUGAUAAUGCAUGUGUGAGUGAAUUUAUAGACCGUCGAUUAAUACAUGGUAUGAUUAUGCAACUCUGUGAACCAUGUGAAUCUUUUCAAAUACGUACUUGUGACGAUUAUGUUUACCAUUUGAUUUAUUACUCGCAAUUUAUUCAUGGUUUGUGGGAACAAUGUGAGACGACUGAAUGCCUUAAAACAUGUCCAUCUUUGUUUCAAAUAUUUGACGAGGCAGUGGUGAGUAAAUUAGAUUGUUUGCAUGGUAAUCUGAAUUUGUCCAUUCAUAUGCGUUAUACCUGUUCUGUUAUGCUUAUGAUUGGACUACAAGCUUGUUUCCGUUGCUAUUUACUAUCUCAUGGCUAUUCUUUUUCAGUGGACUCAAUUGCCAUUAGUCCCGUUCGAUAGAGGAAAGUCGAGUUCAUUUGAUUUUUCAGAUUCGAGAACGAAUCUUUUUGAGGAAGGGGGGAAUGAUACGAGUCACAAAAGCCCAAAUUCUUGAAGGCGAGGCCCAAUAAGCAAAUUUCCAGCUCAAUCAAGAAAUCCAUCCAUACUUAGUUGAAAAUCAGGCCAAAUUGUCAAAGUGGCCCAAGUUGUAAAGUUUUAUUUUUAUUUUUAUUUAUUUAUUUACUUAGUUUAAAUUUUUAUGUCAAUAUUCAGUCCAAGAGUCCCAGAUAAAAUGACCUUUGACCGAAUUUCCAUAUUAAAAUAAUUAGGAGUUUUUUUAUUUUAGUUUUCUAAUUAGAUUAGGACUAGUUAUAAGGCCUAUUUAAAAGCAUGGCUGUCCACCUUGUUAAACACUUAUCAUUAUUAUUAAAAUUUUCAGAUUUGUUGAGAGCAGAAUUUUCUUUGAGUUUUCUCUAAGAUUUCUCUCUUGAGUUUUCUUUAUAAGUUGUUUUAACAAUCUUUUUGAUUGUGGGAGCCAUCUUCAACCUUCUUCUUGCCAUUGAUAUUCUUUGGAGGGGAGAUUAGAAUCGUUUGAAAGGAGUUGUGAGAUCUUUCGAGAUUUCAAGGCUUCUUAGGACUUAUCUUUUAAUUUCUUACUGUCAAUUCUUUCUUUAUUUCUACUUGGGCUGAAUCAUUAUCUAAUCUAUUUUCUGUUCUUAUGAUGUUUUCAGCCUUUUUCUAUCUUAAGGAAUCAGCCCAAAAAUCCCCAAUUUCUAGCGUUUUUCUAUACUCUUUUUGGGUGAAAUUAGAUUGUCGAAAUUUGGGGAAAACUAUCUUGGUGUUCAAUUGGGCAGAAUCACAAUCUCCUUGAGGGUUUCAAGAACCCUAACACUUAUUUCUAUUCUCUAUUUGAUUCUUUACUGUUUUGGGGAUUUUAUUUCAGAUCUGAAAAUUCAAAAAUAUAAUUUUUUAAUUUUCUGUUUCGUUUCAGAUCUAAUUGUUUAGGGUUUUCGUAGGAGUUUCUCGUGACUUGGCAACUCGAUCUUGGUCCGCGCGCAACCCCGUAUCAAAUUAUUUGUUUUGCC
rnacentral:lncRNA from 1 species